AGAAGUGCAAGGCGCUUUGGUGGGAUCCUCACGGACAGAAAAAGAUUGCAGUCAGUUUGAUAAUGAUUGAGUGACAUUGCUUUUUCGCUCCGAACCAAGGGAUCCCUUAUAUAUGAUGCAAGAUGGAUCUUGUUCUAUCGUUGAUCAGAGAUUUCUCUAUGAAAAAUACGAAUCGGAGUUUGAAGAAGGGGAAGGAGAAGGAGUCCUCGACCCGCAUGAAGCCUCCACCCGGUCUCGAAGACUCCAUUGCACCUGGCAAAGUUUUGAGACUAAGAAAGACUAUCUAUCGUCUCAAAUAAUCACCAAGGACUUGGUAUCACAAGCUGAGCUUUACUCUCCAGGAUCACAGCUUUAGAAAGUCAGAAUCCGAUCAGACCUUAUUUACUCUUCAUGGUCCUCAAAGUAUUGUUGUUGUCCUUGUAUAUGUAGAUGAUAUUAUCAUCUCAGGCAAUGACACAACAUGUAUUCAAUCGACUAAAGAGUUUAUUAAAUCUGUUUUUGACAUUAAGGAUCUUGGAGCACUAAAGUACUUUCUAGGGAUAGAAGUGUGGCGAUUAGAAGAUGGCCUUUUCUUAUCUCAAAGAAAGUACACCCUUGAUAUCUUGAGUGAUACAGGUUUUAUGGAGGCAAAGUCAGUUAAGACUCCACUUGAAGAUGGUUACAAGGUCCAUCGAAAGGGGAGAAACCAGAAGAGCCGUUUGAAGACAUAUCCCUAUACCUUAAGAUUGUGGGUAAGUUGAUUUAUUUAACACUCACUAGACCUGAUCUGUGCUCUGCUGUGAAUCAGGUGAGCCAACACAUGCAAAAUCCCACUGUUUACCAUUGGAGCAUGGUGUAAAGGAUCCUUAGAUACCUCAGAGGCUCAUCGGGUCAAGGCAUAUGGAUGGGAAAUAAUGAUAGCACCGAGAUAGUUGGAUAUUGUGAUGCUGAUUGGGCUGGAGAUAGGAAUGAUAGAAAGUCUACAACCGUGUAUUGCACUUUCAUUGGAGGGAAUCUGGUGACUUGGAAAUCAAAGAAGUAGAAGGUGGUAUCUGACUCAAGUGCUGAAUUAGAAUACCAAGCCAUGAAGAAGCUUGCCAAUGAGCUUACUUGGCUCAAAGCCUUACUCAAAGACCUCAACAUCGAGACUCCAGGUCCCAUUACCAUUCAUUGUGACAAUCAGGCGGCCAUUCACAUCAAAAAAAACAGCCUUCCAUGAGAGGACCAAGCAAAUUGAGAUAGAUUGCCACAAGGUCCGACACAAGAUUGAAGAAGGAGUUAUACUCCCAUGUUUUACGAGAAGUGAAGAUCAGAUGGCUGACAUCUUCACCAAAGCUGCAAGACUCAAAGUCUGUGAGCACAUCUACAGCAAGCUGGGACUUGUAGACAUCACUCAAGCUUGACCCAAGCUCCCUGACCCGUAAAACAUUAUACUCUUUUUCCUUGGCAUAGUUUUUAUCUCAUGAGGUUUUUUUAUGUCAAGGUGUUAAUGAGGUAAUGGGUUAUGGGUCUUCAAACUUAGUACUACAUUCUAAGCUUGAGGGGGAGUAUUGAGCAGACCCAUAAUAACCUUAGACAUUGUAUGAGCUCGGUAUGAUCUUUGUAAGGAAUACUUAGGUGCUAAGUCGUAUAAUGGGCUCAGGUCUUUAUCAAGAUUCAAUAAGGGGCUUUGAGGCCCAAGUUGAUAUGUGUGUCUGCGUAUAGAAGACAGAAAAAAGGAGCAAAAGAACCGUUAAAGUCAAAGAGAAAGAGUCGUUGGAGUUAAAGUGCAACAUGUGACCUUAGCUGUAUCCAAGACUAAGGUCACGUCACUUUCAGGCAUUUAAAGCCUUUGUCUGUACCCAUAUUGUCUCGUGUGGAGACAAAAAAUAUCUUGUUGCUUUUAAAAUUCCUCUUGUCUAUCUAUAUAAAGAUAUAUCAUUGUAACCUUGGAACAUACAUUAAUGGAGACUUUUAUUCUCUUCAUCUCUCUUCUCGCUUUUCAUUUCUGCAAUAUUAUCACUCUGUUUUUCAAAUUCUAACAUUCCCCGCCAUGUAUCACCUGAAUCAAAUGGUAGUACCAGGAAUCAAUCCAACAACAGGUCAGCAGCAAAGUGUUUGUUUGCUAUUCUUGUUUGUUGUCUGCUUUACCAUGGAGUUGCUUGCAGUUGAUCUGAGCCUGCUUUUGUCUUACUCUAAAGAGGCCGCUUAACCAGUGUUUCCCAAGUAGGCAAGAUAGAGACGGACCAUCAGAACUCCAAUCAUUUUCAGACUCACUAAAAUCCCGAUUAAAUGCCUUCUCAACGAGGUAAAUCCCAUCUCUACCAACUUGGGCUGUGUAAGCUUUGAUCAACUCUGAAUCCAUUCUUGAUGCAAUUGAUAGUACAAAAAACAAUAUUAAGGAACACAAGAAGCUGUAAGGAUAGGUUUUUCUCUCAUGGCAUGUUAGUGGAAGAUCUUGGCUCAGAAGUUGGAAGAGAGGGUAAUGCUGGAAUUGCCACGAUGUCGUGUAUGAUGGACGUCUGGAAACAAGAGAAAACAGUGGAUAAAGACUGUAUCUGUAUCAGAUAACUCAGCAAAUAGUACUCCAAGUGAAUCAAACAAUGAGCAUAGAUCAGAGUCUAAUGAUGACCAUUUUGUGAGUGAAAGGUGUUCAGGGAGUGUGUUCUGCUAGUUCUGGCUCAAGCUGAGCUGCAUUCUCAGAAUCUGCAUCAGCGAUAGCAUCUUCAUUUGUGAAGGUUAGUUAACUUUGAUCCCCUUGAUAUAGUGGAGUUUAGUUUAAGAAUUGUUGUGUCCUUGACGGUUUUUCACAAUAAAGUAGUUGCUUUACUCAGCUUUGAUGAGCUUUUCUCGUUUACUCACAUUUUUUCAAAUCGGAAGUAACAAAAUUAUGAAAAAUGUGAUCCAUCCCCUGAGGUAAUAAAUUGUAAGUAACAAUCGCUUAUGAACUUCUUUUACUUAAGAUCUUUUUGUCUUUCAGUUUGAGCAGAGACAAGAAGAUGAUAUACUUAGAAGUCACUGGUUGUGUUCUUUUCCAUAAAGAAGUCAUUGAUGAUUGAAUGCUUAAAGGAUCUCUCAACCAUGAGGCAGGAGCCUCUUUGUGAAGUGCAUUGACAUACUCAUAAUUUUAUAGGUUUUAGCAUGCAUUUUACUUAAGAUUUUGUGUCUCAUGCAUGCAUUCUUAUAGUUUUCUUAGUGUUUUUGUCCAAAUUGUGUCAUUAUAGGUUUUGCAUUAGGUCCUAGUGUGUCUAUGCAUGUUUGGAGUGUUAUUAGGUGCUUUUGUAGAUUAAAAGAGACAUGGAGACAAUUGGGAUCGGAGCCAGUGCAUGACAAGAAAAGGAGAUGCAUUACCUCUGCCGAUGCAUCUCAAAGAUCAGUAAGAUCGAGGAUUUCAACACAGAACUGGCCUUCCAGCUUAUCAUAAAGGUUGUAGGUAGUCUAGCUACCUUUCCAUUGCAGUUAAAAGAAAGUUAUUCUGAUCGGUGGUCAGGAAGUUACACCCAAUAAAACAUAAGCAUGUCUCUCAGCCAAAACUCGGAUCAAGCCAAUGCAACUACAAGAUCGAGCUGAAUGGAAAGCGUACACACCGAUCCAGCCCUGGAAUUCUUCCUAAUAUUUGUUUACAAUUGAGUUUCCUUUACAAUGGAAGUGGUCUCGAGUUAUUCUGACCAGUUGCUCGAAAGUUAUGACUGAAUGAGCAUGAAGAUACCCGUCUUUUGGUUACAUGCCAAGGGUCAGUGUCUGGCCUUGCUUCCGCCGGUGAUCAGGAAGUGCUUCACCUGGGAAUCAGCCUUGGAACACUUUCAAGUCGACACAAGAAGCAGGUGCAAGUGAUGAACUCCUCAAGAAUCUGCACCGGGACACAUCCAAGCCAGUUCACAGACCAGUGCAAGUUGCGAAUACACCAAGAUUCUGCCUUGGUCAUUUGCCUUGGUCAAGAAGGGACCCAGUGCAGCUUGCCUCAGUCACUGCCUAGGCUCCUCUAACCCAGUGCAGCACUCAAUUCACAUGUUCUCCAUUUGCCUCGGCCACUACCUCGACUCAGAUCAUACCCGGUGCAACAUCAAACACUUCACCUCAGUUAGCACCCCGGGUUUGAAACAGACCAGUGCAGCCUGCGAACACACCAAAAUCUUGCACCGGUCUACUUUCUCGGGUGGUCUAACUCGGUGCAGACCAGUCUUGACCCUGUUGGAGCCGGGUCAGGAUCCAAUUUGUCCUGAGCUGACCUGGUUCGCCCACACUUAGUAUAUAUAUGUUUUUAACCUAAUUUUGCAAGAUAUCUUUCAUUCUCUUUAGUUUCCUUUCUUUUUUGGUGAAAGAAAUAACCUGUGUAAGAGAUAUCCCUUGUGUUAUUUCAAUUUAAUUUGGUUUCUUAUCAUCUUUCUUCUUUCCUUAAUUAUUAAUCAUGCUUAACAUCACUUUUUGCAAAGAAAAUAGUAUGUUAAGUAUGAUUAGUGAGUAUUCUUUCAUUAAGCUUUUGGUAUGUAGAUUAUGAUGUUUAGAUGCUAGAUUGUGAUGUUUAGGUGCUCGAUUCUACUUUUCCUAUUCUUAUUUGGUUGUUCUCUAUGCUAGAUCUUUCACAAUUAGCUUGAUCUAGACCGAAGGCAUUUUCCAUCCAGAAAGUGUUUAAUGAUAUGCCUGAAAGAGCCAUUUAAGAUUUUAAUGUUUUGAUCACAUGAGAAUGCUUGUUUGAAGAUUAAAUGGCAUGUUAGAUCUGAUUCUUUAUGAUUUCUGAUUAUUGUUGCACUAUUGAGAGUUAGGUUUGCUAAUGAUGAUUUGAAAUGUGAUUAAUGUCUUAAGAAAUGAUUAGUUUUGUUUAAGAGUUUUAAGUUAAAAAGAAAUUGUAUUUUUUGAAUACUUUAGUAUCAUAAAGUAGUAUUGAAUCAAUUAUCACACCUAGAGGCUUAGCUUUUUAUAUAUUUGAAUCUAUCUUUGUUAAGUUGUUAGUUGUUUUUUUUUUUGUUAACCACUUUGCUUGUUUAGUUUUAAUCAUUUGGUCUUGUUUAAUCACAACACCAUCUUGUUCAUUUGGAUUAAGCUAGUUUUUUUUAUAACUUUAGUGUUUAAAUCUUCAUUUGGAUGAACUUGUUAAGGAAUUGAUCUAAGAAAUAUCCUUUUAUCAUGCAUACAUAAAACUAAAGGAAGAUACCAUAGAAGAGAGAAAAUUGUGGGGUUGUUUGUCUAUUACCAAUUUCUCUUCUGUGUAUGUUAUUAUAUUACUAAUAAUUGUUGUUUCUUCAGCUUCUUGCAUGCCAAAUCAAAUUCACGACAAAUAUAUAUAUAUAUAUAUACUAAGAAUAAAUUUAGUGGGUAAUGAAUAUUCUGUAGUAUUGUUGAUUCUUUAAGGUUAAGCUUUGUUUAUCUGAUAGAAUCGAGUCUUGUCGGUGUCUAACCGUUGCUUUUCCUGACUCAUUAGAGCAGAAAGAUUGAUCUGUGUUUUACUGUAGAUCAAAGUCAAGCAUCUUUAUUUGGACACCACACAAGCAUAGGAGAGAGUUUUAACAAAGUCAGUACAUAUUUACAACAGAAAACUUAACUAGCAGAGACCGUGGAAAAUAACGUGAUCUUAAAUUUGAAGCUGAUGCAAGAUAGUUGCUUGCCAUUCUUGUCGUUCAUCGUCAUCUUAAGCGUGUAAGUGCCCUGUUUCAAAGAGACGUAUUGUUAGAUCAAGGAAGCCAAAUCUUGACCUAGCUGAUUAUGAUGGGAAACUGAGUCUUAAGACAAAUAGGAAGCAUAUCUCAAACCAUUUGUCAAAUGAACAUAACCAACAUAUCCUUAAGUUCAAGCGUUGAGAUAAAAACCAAGAUAUGGUCAAAAGGAAAUGAACAAUCACAUUGUUAGGAGAUCUUACGGGUGGUGUAAAUACAGGCAAAGUUUGGGAAUGAGAAAGGACGAAGCUGCCUGGUGCGAUCGGGCAGGAAGUCUCAUUGCAGAGGUCAUGAGUUUCGGUAUGGAUAUGAACCCCAACGAAUGAAACGCUGAUCACUACUUUUCCUCCAGAGAUGUCUUCAUCUAAUUCACAACAACACACAAGAUUUUAUCAAGGAAUGCACAAGAUUAUGUUUCUAACUUUUCAAUAAUAUAAAUAGAAGCAGGAAGAUCAUAAUUACCAGUAGAACCCGAUAUCUUAAAUGUUGCGGGUUUGCCACUCACUACGGGGUCAGGAGAGAUCUCCACACCCUUGACCUUAACGGGAUCGAGCCUCUUAUCUAUAACAGUCGCAAGUACAGAGCAAAAUCCAGUUCAGCAUAAGCAAAGUAAAAGACUAGUAGUAUCAUGCAGAUAAACAGAGAAGAGUAAAGUAUACAUCACUGAUAAAGAAACAUGAAAAUUUGAAAUGUAAAAAAAAAAAAAAUUAACCUUUAUGUAAUUGCAUAACCAAGAACAGAAAAUAACUUGUAUUUAACAGUCGCAAAAAAAAACAACUUGUAUUUAACAAAUAUUUUUAAAAAUCCCUAUUUUCUUGCAAGCAAUUGAUGAAAGGGUAAAUGAAGCACUCUACAAACAAACUUUUAGCAUCUAUGAAACUGAUUUUCACAUGCAUCAAGAGCGAAACAGAAAAAAAAAAAAUUAGUUUUUUGCAAGAAUUGAUUAAACCAGAGUCAUAUCAUUUUGUACCCUCAAAUUGAAAGUAGCAGAUCGGAGUAGGCUCUAAAUUCAAGGUCAAUAACCAAAAUUCAGAGUAAAAUAUGCAAUAUUUAAGGUUAUGUGAUGAGUCUUAACCAUAUUUGUUACUUAAAAGAGGAAGAAGAGAGUUUGGGUACAAACCGCAGGAGCGGAAAGAAGUGGCCAGCAGAGAAGGUAAGAGGAAGAGUGUGAACAGGAGAAGAAGCAGAGGAUGAGCGUGAGAAAUUGCCAUGGAUGAUGAGUGAUUUGCAGAUGGCGAAGAAGGAAUUGUGAUUUGAUGAAGAUGACGAGAUGAAGCUCGUCGAUUUUACAGGUGUCGAAAGAGUUUGGUAAGUAGAUAUGGAAUUUAACGGUUUCCUGAAUACACCGAACCAUCCAACGGUUGCAGAUUUUAGCUACAUUUAAAAACAUAUAUAUUUUGACUUUUUCAAUAAUUUUUUUUUGAUUUUCAAUAGAACUCUUGGUUGGCAAAUCAGUUGCUUAUUAUAAGAGACUAAAUGAAUAUCUGCAUAUAUAUAUGUAUGCGGAUUUUUUUGUUAAAAUAUUUUUUAAUUUGAUAAAUUAGUUAAUGCUUAAUAAUAAAAAAAUUUCAAUCAUUCCUGUUACAUAAAAAUUAAAAAUUGAAGUAAGAAAAGUUUUCUCUUCCAUUAUCUUUAAAAUAUUAUUUUUCAAAAUUCGCAUCAUUAUUUUUUUAUGAAAAUUUCAUUUGGUCUCGAAACAUAUUCGUACAUGAAAAAAAUGAUACAAUUACAAAUUUAGAUCAAUUUUUUCUUCACCAUUUUAAAAGAACACACUAAUAUUAAUGUAUAUCUGUGUGAAGGUGUCAAGUUUUACCUUAAAUAAAAUCAAUAGCCACAAAAUACACCGUUGAUCGAUUGUAAUACUUAGGGAUCGAAUCCACAGGGAAGGAAGGAAGUCUAGAAUCAAAAAAAAUUUAUAAUGGUUUUGGUAGUAUCUUUAAAACGUAAAAACUAAUCAACGAGAAAUUACGGGAAUUAAAAUGACCUAAUAACUAAACUUAAUGAAAUCGACUAAAAACGAGAAAAACGGCUAAACCUAAUUGCUUAAAUGAAAAUCAAUUAAGAGAAUGAAAAUAAUGAACUAAAGCUUGAAAUAAAAUCGAUGUAAAUCUAUAGGAAAGAAGGCGCUGGGUUUCAGAGAAGUUUUCUCUGGGGUAUGAACGAUUCAAAACAUUGUUAGAAAGUAAAUUAGAUAAGAUCUUAGCUUAAACUUUUCGAACUAGAGUCACGGACGUAUGAAUACGCCACUAUCGUGAUCAUAGACAACUAUCUCUCUUAACCCUGACCAGUAGGUUUCCACUCUGACCCUCGAAAAGAAAAGAUGCAUUAUAUUUAAGACUCGUCAGCAUUCACAAAUUGCCCAUAGGUAGGUUUCCACUCCUAUGUUUGUUUUGCUCUCCCAAACUAGAUCUGACACCGGAUGAACACGUUCGUGUCACCAAGCAUCUGGAUCAGAUUGUAGUUUAUGACACUACUCUCAUGCAGUAAAAAUAAAUUCAGAAGAAAAAGUUCUAAGAUUCGGCUUCAAUAGCUCAUGGAAUCCUCAUCGAACAUAUAUAUCCCCACCAAAAAUCCCUUAGACGCAACAAUAAAACUACUCAGACAUGAUGAACGAAAUCAAAAACAUAGUAUUAAAAAGUAGAGCAAUAAUCAAAAUUGAAAAAGAAAUAACAAGGGUUCAAGAGACAAAUCUCUCUCUCCCUAAACCUAAAAACAAAAGCUUAAAGUAAAAUUUCUUCUAAAAUAUUUUGUCUCUCCUAAAAACGACCUAAAUGAUAAGUAUUUAUAGUCUCCAAUGCUCUCUGGUGUCUAGGGUUCCGGAAUUGAGGCUGAGAAAAUGAUUUGGGCUUCAGAAAUGGGCCUUCAAGUUCGGAGAUGGCUGGCCGCGGUCGGGAAGUGCGUGACCGCGGGGAAUAGGUGUUUGGCCGCGGUCGGGAAGCCUCUAACCCUGGUGAAAUGGCUGUUGGUCGUGGGUGGAAAUGCUUGCCGGCUGGUUUACGGGACAUCUUGCUCUUGCGUAUCUUUUGAUUGAACCGUUAGAUUGCCAAGCUGUAAAGUGUGCUGGAAAGCUGAUACUUCCAUCUUUGGGAUCUCCAAAUUUGAGCUGGCUCAGACGGUGAGAAGGCCUUCAAUCGGGGGUGAACUUCUGACGGUUUGACUCUGAGCUGAAAAUCUGGUUUUCUAUCCAUUUUGUUAAGUUUUUCCCUAAGUUUCCAGAAAAGAGUCUUGGAACUACAAAUACUAGAAAAACGUAAUAAAAGUACUUGAAAACAAUAAAAACAUAGAAAAAGUAGUUCAAAACGAUCCAUAAAAGUGGUCAAAAUACGGUGUUAUCACACACACAUCAAACUAAGUAAAUUAACCAACAAUGAAUUAAUUUCUUCCACGACUGUCUCUCUCACUUGUUUGUCCUAGCCGCUUUAAACAGUACCUUAGAGUUUUUAGAGGCUUCUCCGUCGAGAGCCUCACCGUUCCUUUUCUUAAGUACUUUAGUUGGCUGGUAAAUCGAAUUGAACCAGGAGGCAGAUUCUUCUUCUCUGGCAGUGUGCAGCGUAGAGCAAUCUCCUCUUUGAAGUGGUGCUGUAUUAGAUGCAGUAAAGGUAGAUCGGUUUUGCGACUACUCCGUUGUCCCGUGCUGCUGGAGAACGGCGGUUGGAGAUCGGAAGAAAGGAAAUCGAGAAUCAUGAUUACUCCGUUGAUCUGUGCCAUUGGCGGAUGGCGAUUGGAGAUCGGAAGAAAGUGAAUCGAAACUAACGACUACUCUGUUGAUCCGUGCUGCUGGAGAAUCAUCCCAUACACUUGUCCCCGAGCUCAAAGAGGCACCAAUGACUCGUUCCAAAACAAGGAGACUGAGGGAAGGGUUCAAUUUGGCCGUAGAAGCAUUACUAAGCACCAUGGAGUAUGGAGAUGCAUUCAAAACCGGUUCACAAGAGCACUACAUGCGAGACAAUCCCAAAGGACCCGAUUUAGACAUAAAAGAAGAUUUUGCGUGUUUGAGCCUCAAAGAGAGUCAGCCUUGACGAGAACAAGGUAUGCAUGUUUACUUGGAAGGAAAUGGAGUUUGGAACACCAAUAAUCUCGAAGAGACCGCCUCGGAGCUUCAAGAUACACCAAUCUCAAGAAUAGAAACCAAUAGCAAUCAAAUGGAACAAGUGGAAGGUCUUGAAGCUGGACACGAGAAGAAACUCAAAGAACUCACAAGACACGACGUUAGCAGGACUCAAGACGAAGAAAACAUCAAGACUAACAAGCUACAUGGACCGGAAUGCGACUUAACCAACUUCACACCAAGCAAGCCCACAACCGGCCAUAACUAGGUAUUUUCGAUUUAUACAAUCUGUGCAGGUAACAUGGAAGUAUCCUAGUGGUGUCUAACACGCUAGAGAGCAUCAGAGGUCCACGGAAAAAGUCCAGAAAAAGUUGCACGUAGUUAGUUUUUUUUCUUUUUAUUUUCAAGUGAAUUUUCCAUUUUUGUGUCCAAAUUAGACGCUUUGCCAUUUUUGCUUUAAUUCUUUUACAAGUCGUGUUUUUUUUAGUCUUUAGUGUCGUUUUUCUUGUUAAGUGUUGAACCCUAGAAGGUUCAAAGCUGAAAGACUAUUUAUAAAGUCCCACACGUAGCUGUUGUACUCAACUUUUACCCUAUCAAUAAAAUAACGAUGUUUUCCUCUUAGCUUGUGCUUGAGAGCCUUUUGCUUGUGUUCUUGCGUUUGAGAUUCACCGAGAGAUAAGUUUGCAGUAUCAGAGAUUCUCACAUCAUCUAUGUGGUGCCAUCGAUCCAUUUCACAACCAUUCAUUGAUCCCUCAAGAGAGAGCGUCAUAGCCAGCUUGACAGAUCCCAUCUCGAUACAAGCCUUGUGGAAACAAGUCUUAUCUUACCAUCCCCAUCCAUUGAUCCACACGAGAGAGCGUGAAAGCCAGUGUGUUGAUCCCACCAAGCCAUUGAUUCCAAAAUCUUAUAAGCCUCACCCGAGUCUUAUAUCAUUUUGGUAUCAGAGCCAAAGGUUCCUGCCUUUGGUCUUCUAUCUUUUACACUUGUAGUUUAUUUGUUCGCACUCGUUUAGUUCUUUGAAUUCAUAAAACUGAAAACCCUAGAAAAAUUUAGUUAGUUUGCUUGCGUAUUCAUUAGUCAAAAAAAGAAAAAGAAAAAGAAUCCGUUGCAUUGUUAGUUUAAAACCGUCGUCUUUAGUUUAUUGCAACCCAAAUUUUGAAAACCCUAUAUAAGUUAUCUAGUUUUAUCUAAGUGCCGAGUUCAUCUAUUUUAGUGCCUUUUUAUUCGGUGGUACUUUUGACUUGUUUGUUGUUUUUUUUAGUACAAAGACAUUUAAGUGAGUCUAGUUAACACCAUGGCCGAUGGAGAACCAGUUCCGAAUGAUGCUCUUGUUCAAAUGAUGACCGCAAUGAGGGAAGAUUUAAGGAACAUAACUCAACAAAUGGGUAACAUUCGUCAAGAAUUUGGAGCAAUGAUAGACCGAGUUGAAGCACAACCAAGGAGAGCCCCAGUUCGAAGGGCACAAAUUCCAGCUGGUGAUGCGAGUGAUGAUGAAGAGAUGCCCGAGUUGGAGGAUGAUCUUCCACCCAAUCCUCUUCAACAUCGACAAUAGAGGAGACCGGAUCCUCUAAGGAGGAAUCCAGCAAGGGUAGUAGAUACUCGAGAGAAAACUCAUGAUCUUAAACUAACACCUCCUACUUUUUGCAGGAAAAUCUGAUCAUGAAGCAUACUUGGAUUAGGAGAGGAGACUAUAGCACAUCUUUGAGUGCUAUGGCUACACUGAACACAAGAAGGUGGCUGUUGCGGCAGCACAGCUCACUGACAAUGCAUUGGCGUGGUGGGACAGAAAUGUGGCCGAGAGGAGAAGGCAACGUUUUGGACCGGUCAUAACUUGGAGUGACAUGAAAUUCCUCUUACUUAAGUAUGUACAUGAACACUAUCAUAGAUACUUACAAAAGCGUUUUCGCAAGUUGUCUCAGGGAGACAGGAGUGUAGAUGAGUACUUUGAGGAAUAUGAGAAGCUGAUGAACUCACUGGAGCUAGAAGAAUCGGAUAAGGCCUUAAUGGCACAAUUCAUUGACGACUUGCAAGAGAGAAUUGCAAGAAAGGUGGAGAGAGCUCAAUACAGUGGAUUGCACAAGUUGUUUCAUCUUUCCGUACAAGUGGAGCAGCAGAUCAAGCGCAAAACAACCCUCACCAACCGCAACCGUACGAAUCAAACCUGGAACACCAGCAGCUCUAAACCCGUAGACAAGGGCAAAGCCGAAGAGAUCGACUCAAGGUAUAAAGGCAAAAAUGUCGAGGCUCCCAAGUUCAACCGAGAUGAGCCAGGUAAGUCAUCUAACAAUACUUCAAGAAUUCGUGACAUAACAUGUUUUAGAUGUCAAGGUAGGGGUCACAUGUCAAGGGAGUGUCCAAAUUAACGAGUCAUGAUCAUCACACCUAGUGGGGAUUAUGAAUCUCAAGAUGAACAAGAAGACGACUCUAAUGACAUAGAUGAGGAGGUCGAGUAUUCUGAUACUGGUGAACUAUUAUUAACUCGCCGAGUACUAAGUGUUCUUGUUCACCCCGAGGAAACAGCCCAAAGAGAAAACAUUUUCCACACUAUAUGAACCGUCAGAAACAAGGUAUGUAACCUUAUUAUAGAUGGUGGUUCAUGCACUAACGUGGCUAGCAAGUAUAUGGUGGACAGAUUAGGUCUUGAGAAGACAAAGCACCCUCGCAUUUAUAAGUUAAGGUGGUGAAACGAUCAGACCGAGCUCAAGAUUUUCGAGCAAGUAUCAGUGCCUUUUAGUAUUGGCAAGUACCAUGAUCAAGUCACUUGUGACGUGGUGCCAAAGCAAGCAGGGCAUCUACUACUCGGUAGGCCGUGGCAAUUUGACCGAGCAACAAACCACAAUGGCUGCACCAAUCAUUACUCUUUCAUGCACAAGGAGCGUAAGUACAAUCUUGCACCUCUUAGCCCCACCGAGGUACAUGAAAUGCAAGUGCAUAUGAACAAAGAGGCUGAGAUAAGUAAAAAUAAUCUUUAUCUAUCAUCUCGUGAUAUUUGUAAAACCAUGAGUGCCAAUGGCACAGUGCUACUAAUGAUGUUUAAAGGGUGUUUGAGCGCAGGCAUAGGUGACUCUGAGAUCCCACCCAAAGUGCAAACUAUCCUGAAUAAGUUUAGAGAUGUGUUUCCCGAAGAGAUACCCCCAGGUUUACCACCACUUCGUGGAAUAAAGCACCAAAUUGACUUAGUUCCCAGAUCAACAUUGCCCAAUAAGCCAGCUUAUAGGAUGAAUCCUGAGGAGACUAAGGUGUUAGAGAGGCAAAUGCGAGACCUAAUGGACAAAGGCUAUAUCCAGGAGAGCCUCAGUCCUUGUGCUGUGCCAGUUCUCGUAGUGCCAAAGAAAGAUGGUACAUGGAGAAUGUGUGUGGACUGCCGUGCCAUCAACAUCAUCACCAUCAAAUAUAGGCACCCCAUUCCACGCCUAGAUGACAUGUUGGACGAGCUGAGUGGAUCCACAAUCUUCUCAAAGGUGGACUUAAAGAGUGGAUACCAAGUGGAAAACCGCAUUUAAGACCAAACAAGGUUUGUAUGAGUGGUUAGUUAUGCCUUUUGGCUUGACUAAUGCACCAAACACCUUCAUGCGCCUUAUAAGAACUAGGUUUUUCGAGCCUAUAUAAGUAAAUUUGUAGUUGUUUAUUUCGAUGAUAUACUUAUAUAUAGUAAGAACCUUAAUGAUCAUCUUCAACACCUCGAACUAGUGCUUAAAACACUUCGCAAGGAAGACCUAUAUUCUAACCUUAAGAAAUGCAUAUUUUGUACUAACCGGCUUGUUUUCUUAGGUUUUUUAAUAAGUGAACAGGGGUUACAAGUAGACGAGGAGAAGAUCAAGGAAAUACGAAAGUGGCCUACACCAACUACAAUCGGCCAUGUCAGGAGUUUUCAUGGUUUGGCCAGCUUCUACAGACGUUUUAUGCGAGAUUUCAGCACGGUGGCAGCCCCACUCACCGCGUUGAUCAAGAAAAACGUGCCAUUCUCAUGGGGACCAGCUCAAGAUGCAGCUUUUGAAGCCAUGAAGAAACGUUGAACCCAAGCACCUAUUCUAGCCCUACCUGAGUUUGAUGAAAUGUUUGAGGUGGAGUGCGAUGCAUCAGGAGUGGGAAUUGGAGCUGUGCUAAAUCAAAGAAAGAGACCAGUGGCAUUCUUUAGUGAAAAACUAAGUGGAACUACAUUAAACUAUCCCACAUACGACAAAGAGUUAUAUGCCUUAGUCCGAGCAUUGGAGACUUGGCAACAUCACUUGCUGUCCAAGGAAUUCCUUAUUCAUACUGAUCACGAGACCUUGAAGCACUUAAGAGGACUAACCGCGCUUAAGAGACACCAUGCUAAAUAGCUGGAGUUCAUAGAGACUUUCCAUUAUGUGAUCAAGUACAAGAAGGGGCAAGAGAAUGUGGUGGCCAAUGCACUCUCAAGAAGACAUGCAUUGAUCUCUACUAUGGAGGCAAAGGUACCCAGGUUUGAGCAUAUCAAGGAGUUAUACAAAGAUGAUCCAGAAUUCGGAGAAGCUUAUCAAGGGCAUGGAAAAUGAGCUUUUAGCUCGUACCACUUGCACGAUGGGUUUCUUUUCCGAGACAAGAGGCUAUGUGUUCCCCAAGGAUCUUUGAGGGAUCUAUUGCUGAAGGAGGCACACGGUGGAGGCUUCUUGUCAUUUUGGAGUGGACAAGACACUGGCCGUGAUAGCUGAUCACUUCUUCUGGCCGCACCCCAAGAAAGAUGUGGAGAGACAUUGUUCACGCCGUGUUACUUGUCACAAGGCCAAGUCCAGGUUACAUCCUCAUAGUUUAUACUUACCUUUACCUAUUCCUAAAGGACCAUGGGUGGAUAUUUCUAUGAAUUUCGUACUAGGCUUGCCCAAGAUCAGGCACAAGGACUCGAUCUUUGUUGUUGUGGAUCGCUUUUCAAAAAUGGUGCAUUUCAUUCCCUGUGACAAGUCCAAUGAUGCCACACAAAACGCAGAUUUCUUCUUCAAAGAGGUGGUGAGACUAUAUGGAGUGCCAAGAACGAUUGUGUCUGACCGAGACUCUAAGUUCUUAAGCCACUUUUGGAGAACCCUUUGGAGAAAGCUUGGCACCAAGCUUCUAUUCUCUACAACUUGUUAUCCUCAAAUGAAUGUACAAACUGAAGUGGUAAACUGUACAUUAUCUACUUUACUUAGGGUCACUCUUGGUCGAAAUUUAAAAAAGUGGUUAGAUUUUUUGCAUUUCAUUGAAUUCGCUUAUAAUCAUGCUACUCACUCGGCUACUAAGAUGCCUCCUUUUGAAGUUGUGUAUGGUUUUAAUCCAUUAACGCCCUUGGAUCUUUAACCCAUCCCACAAGCUGAGCAAGUCUACUUAGAUGGUCUUAAGAAAAGGGAUUUUGUGAAAAAAAUACAUCAGAAGGUCCGAGAUAACAUAGUGAAGAAAACGGAAGAAUACAAAAGGACGCAAGAAACUUGUAUUCGAACCAGGAGAGUGGCUUUGGCUGCACAUGAGACCAGAAAGAUUCUCACAACAAAGGAUCUCGAAGCUUGCACCUUGCGGAGAUGGGCCUUUCAAAGUUCUAGAAAAGAUCAAAGACAAUGCGUACCGAUUGGAACUUCCAGGUGAUUUUAAUAACUCACAUAGUUUUAAUGUUACUGAUUUGUCUCCUUGUGAUUCAUGUAAUACAGUUUUGAGGACAACACCUCUUGAAGAGGGAGGGAAUGAUGAGGUCAUCAAACCAGAAUCAACCCAUACACUUGUCCCCGAGCUCAAAGAGGUGCCAAUGACUCGUUCCAAUACAAGGAGGCUGAGGGAAGGGUUCAAUUUGGCCGUAGAAGCAUUACUAAGCACCAUGGAGCUUGGAGAUGCAUUCAAAACCGGUUUGCAAGAGCACUACAUGCAAGACAAGCCCAAAAGACCCGAUUUAGACAUAAUGGAAGGUUUCGCGAGUUUGAGCCUCAAAGAGAGCCAGACUCAACAAGAACAAGGUAUGCAUGUUUAGUUGGCAGGAAAUGGAGUUCGGAACACCAAGAAUCUCGAAGAGACUGCCUCGGAGCUUCAAGAUACACCAAUCUCAAAACAAGAAGCCGAUAACGAUCAAAUGGAACAAGUGGAAGGUCUUGAUUCUGGACACAAGAAGAUACUCAAAGAACUCACAGGACACGACGUUAGCAGGACUCAAGACGAAGAAAAAAUCAAGACUAGCAAGCUACAUGGACCGGAACGCAACUUAAUCACCUUCACACCAAUCGAGCCCACAACCGGCCAUAACUAAGUAUUUUCGAUAUGUACAAUCUGUGCAGGUAACAUGGAAGUAUCAUAGUGGUGUCUAACACGCUAGAGAGCAUCAGAGGUGCACGGAACAAGUCCAGAAAAAGUUGCACAUAGUUAGUUUCUUUUCUUUUUAUUUGUAAGUGAACUUUCCAUUUUUGUGUCCAAAUGAGACGCUUUGCCAUUUUUGCUUUAUUUCUUUUACAAGUCCUGUUGUUUUUCGUCUUUAAUGUCGUUUUUCUUGUUAAGUGUCAAACCCUAGAAGGUUCAAAGCUGACGGACUAUUUAUAAAGUCCCACACGCAGCUGUUGUACUCAACUUUUACCCUAUCAAUAAAAUAACGCUGUUUUCCUCUAAGCUUGUGCUUGAGAGCCUUUUGCUUGUGUUCUUGCCUGUGAGAUUCACCGAGAGACAAAGCAGUAUCAGAGAUUCUCGUAUCAUCUCUGUGGUGCCAUCGAUCCACUUCACAACCAUUCAUCAAUCCCUCAAGAGAGAGCGUCAUAGCCAGCUUGACAGAUCCCAUCUCGAUUCAAACCUUGUGAAAACAAGUCUUGUCUUACCAUCCCCAUCCAUUGAUCCAUACGAGAGAGCGUGAAAGCCAGCGUGUUGAUCCCACCAAGCCAUUGAUUACACAAUCUUAUAAGCCUCACCCGUGUCCUAUACCAAAAGGUAUUCAAGACUCACGACUAUUCCGUUGACCCGUGUCACAAGAGGUCGGCUGUUGGAGAUUGGAGGAAAGCGAUUCGAGACUCACAACUACUUCGUUGACCCGUUCCCCUAGUGGACGGUGGUUGGAGAUCGUAGGAAAGGAGUCACGCUGAGGCGGCGCCGAGAUGCGUUUUCACGGUGGAAAUCAAAGAGGUGAUUCGGAGGAAGAGCACUGCAAGUCGAUGGUGGUUUAGCCGUGGUUGGUGAUUCGACCUAAGCGACCCAAGCGAUUUCUGGCGGUGGCGAAGGGAGUUUGCUGGCCCUAAGCAAGCCAACGUUUUUGGUUUCUGCCGUUGACCAGAUCGACAAUUAAGCUUUGAGAAUAAUUUGGUUUUUUACUUUUGGUUCAAUUUCGAUUGUAAAUCUGGUUACUCUUGAUUUGGGUCGCAAAACUUAUAUAAUAUUUCUAUUUAAAAAAUGGACAGUAUACACAAAAAUAAUCUUUUUAUAUGGUGUGAUGCUACAUCAAAAAAUAUUCUUUCUACAGUGGAUCCAUGAUUCAAUAUUAAAAUCAUAAAUAAUCUUUUCAAACAUAUUCUUAAUUAAUUUUGUUUAUGACUAACUUUACUCACACAUCUAUUGAAAUUUCCUAUCAACAUGUUUGAUCAUGAACGGAACCUGAUGACCCUUGACCAAUCUUAUCUGUAAAACAUGAAAACUUUGAAUUUAUUCUAUAAUUUCACAAAUAUUUUCCUGAAUGUAUUUUGCUUAGUUUUAUGGAUGUGUGCUGGAUGAUAAACUUAUCGGAAACCAAUAUUUAUUAAAAUCUACAAAUAUUUUGUUUUUAACCAUUUAAAUAUCUAACUAUUUUAUUACAGAAUUAAAUAUCGCAGUUUGAGAUGCCAAACUAUUUUAGUCUCAGAGUUAGACAACACUAAUACCAUGUUAACCCUGUAACUAACCAUUGUUGUGAAAACUUAGAUACUUUAUUAAUCACUGGAAUGUAUAUAUAGAGUACAUAUGGAAUCUAGGUUAAGUACAAUGCCCUGAUGGGCCUAAUGGGCCGGUAUAAGAGUCCAUAUAUGAUAUGUGUUAUAACACUCCCCCUUGGACGAGUGAACCGGGCCAGCUACUCAAUCGGGAUCUCGAUAAUGCGCUGGGGAAUGUUGCCUCAUUAAAACCUUACCAGGAAAAACCCAGUGGGACAAAACCAUGGUGAAGGAAAAAGAGUACAACACGCAUUACUCCCCCUGAUUGUAGCAUCACUGCAGAUCUCUAAGUCUAUACAUUCCUAUCUGUUUGACGAGCUUCCGGUGUGUUGAAGUAGGCAAUGAUUUGGUGAAGAGGUCAGCUGAAUUCUCACUGGAUCGGACCUGCUGAACGCUGAGAGUGCCGUCCUUCUGCCAGUCUGAGGUUGAGAAGAACUUCGGUAGAAUGUGCUUCGUCCGAUCUCCUUUGAUAUAUCCUUCCUUGAGCUGAGCUAUGCAUGCCGCGUUGUCUUCAUACAUCACCGUGGGCUGUGUGUCUUCGUCCAUACCACAAUCUCUGCGGAUGUGCUGAGUCAUGGAGCGCAGCCAGACGCAUUCCCUACUAGCCUCAUGAAUGGCUAGGAUUUCAGCAUGGUUUGAUGAAGUGGCAGUGAGUGUCUGCUUCAUUGAUCUCCAAGAGAUGGCUGUUCCUCCAUGCGUAAAAACGUAGCCAGUUUGAGACUUGGCAGUGUGCGGAUCUGAUAGAUAUCCUGCAUCGGCAAAGCCGACUAACCCAUCUUUAUUUUUGUUAGUAUAGAAGAGUCCUAAGUCUUGAGUACCUCGAAGGUAUCUUAGGAGAUGUUUUAUACCGUUCCAGUGCCUCUGAGUUGGGGAUGAACUAUAUCGAGCGAGGAGGUUCACGGCGAAACAUAUGUCUGGUCUAGUGUGACUAGCCAGGUACAUUAACGCUCCUACAGCACUGAGGUAUGGCUUUUCAGGACCAAGAAUUUCUUCAUCAUCCUUUUUGGGACCAAGAGGGUCAUCACUUAAGCUUCUAACUACCAUUGGGCUGGUCAAUGGGUGAGCUUGGUCCAUAUUAAAUCGCUUGAGUACCUUUUCGAUAUAAGCCGAUUGAUGCACAAGGAUUCCUCCUUUGAUGUACUCAAGUUGUAAUCCCAAACAGUACUUUGUUUUGCCUAGGUCUUUCAUUUCGAAUUCUGCUUUUAAGCAGUCGACUGUUUGGGAGAUCUCACCAGAUGUUCCGAGGAUGUUUAGAUCAUCCACGUAUACUGCUAUGAUUACAAAUCCUUUGUUUGAGUACUUCUUGAUGAAGAUGCAUGGACUGAUGGGGUCAUUUUUGUAGCCUUCUUUGAUGAGGUAAUCGCUGAGGCGGUUGUACCACAUACGCCCACUUUGUUUCAGUCCAUACAAGGAUUUGUUCAGCCUGAUGCAGUAUUGAUCUCGAGAUGCAUUUUUGUCUUUUAGUUCAAUGCCAUCUGGGAGUCUCAUAUAUAUUUCGUUGUCCAGGGGCCCAUAGAGAUAUGCGGUUACAACAUCCAUUAACCGCAGAUCAAGAUUUUCUCUUAUGGCCAGACUUAUGAGGAAUCGGAAUGUUGUUGCAUCCACCACUGGAGAAUAAGUCUCCUCAUAAUCGAUUCCGGGUCUCUGUGAGAAUCCUUGUGCUACAAGCCGUGCUUUGUAUCGAACGACUUCACCGAGUUCGUUCCUUUUGCGCACAAAGACCCAUUUGUGGCCCACUGGCUUGAUGUGUGAUGGGGUCCGGAUGAUCGGACCGAACACGUUUCUGAGUUUGAGACUCUUUAACUCCACGUUUAUGGCUUCUUUCCAUUUUAGCCAAUCUGUUCUAUGUGUACACUGUGUUAUUGACGUGGGUUCUAGAUCCUCUUGCGUGAGCGCAAUAUCAAGUGCUACUUUGUAUGCAAAGAGUGCAUUUAAGUCGACUUCUUUUCGAUUCCAUUGUAUUCCGGACAUAUUGUAAUUGAUGGAGAUCUCAUUGUUAUCUUCUGAACCUGGAGAUUCGGCGUCCCGAACUUCCAUUGAGGGUUCAUUAGAUUGAGUCUCAGCCACGGCUAUGUCUGAUAUUGCAGGAAUCCCGGUUUCGGUUAUUGCACCUUUCUUUGAUUUCCGGGGAUUCUUAUCUUUGGAACCGAGAGGUCUGCCCCGUUUGAGACGUGGUGCAGACUCUGUAGCAACUUGGGUCUGUCCCGUUGGGACGGCUAUUCGUACUGGUGCAUUACAAGCUGGGAUGUACGAUUUGGUUACUUUGGUCGGGUCAGCAAAGGAAUCUGGCAAUUGAUUAGCUAGCUUUUGAUAAUGAAUAAUCUUUUGGAUCUCUGAAUCACAUUCUAGAGUCCGAGGAUCUUGCCAAUUUAAUGAUGUUUGAUUCCAUGAAAGAUCUUUGACCAGCUUGUUUGUCUCACCACCUAAAGAGGGAUAUACCGAUUCAUCGAAUUGGCAAUCCGCAUAUCUGGCCUUGAAGAGAUCUCCAGUGGUUGGCUCGAGAUAUCUUAUGAUGGUGGGAGAGUCAAAACCAACAUAUAUUCCCAUCCUUCUUUGAGGUCCCAUUUUGGUUCGAUGUGGUGGAGCAAUGGGUACAUAUACUGAACACCCAAAUAUUUUGAGAUGGGAGAUGUCUGGCUCAUGACCCGAGAGUAGUUGGGAUGGGGAAUAUUUGUGUUCACUAGAUGGCCGGAUGCGUAUGAGUUCAGCAGCAUGUAAUACUGCAUGUCCCCAUGCUGAGGCCGGGAGCUUUGAUCUCAUGAGUAAUGGUCGGGCUAUCCAUUGAAUGCGUUUAAUGAAUGAUUCAGCCAAUCCAUUUUGAGUAUGGACAUGUGCUACAGGAUGUUCCACGGUUACCCCCAUGGCCAUACAGUAGUCAUUAAACGCUUGUGAGGUAAAUUCACCAGCAUUGUCAAGGCGGAUAGUCUUUAGUGGGAAGUCAGGGAAAUGGGCCCGCAAUUUGAUGAUUUGGGCCAAGAACCUAGCGAAGGCUUGGUUCCGAGAGGACAAGAGACAAACAUAUGACCAACGGGUCGAUGCGUCUAUAAGGACCAUGAAGUACCGGAAUGGUCCGGAAGAUGGAUGUAUAGGUCCACAGAUAUCGCCCUGGAUUCUUUCUAGGAAAUGAAGUGUUUGUUUAGAGAUUUUAACUGGUGAAGGCCGAGUGAUCAAUUUGCCUUGAGAACAAGCUGUGCACAUGAGGUGUUGAGGAUAAGCUCGGUUUUCUUUGAGGGUAUGCCCUUGAGAGUUUUGAAUUAGUUUACGCAUCAUAUUUGCACCGGGAUGACCGAGCCGGUCGUGCCAAAUAGUAUAAUCAGUAAACCGGGCUUUGAGAGUGGUAUUAGCUUCAAUCAUACUGACUUUAGCAUGGUAAAGUCCAGUAGAGAGCGCGGGUAUGGUUUCGAGGAUUUGUUUAUGGCCGUCUACGGUUUUAGUGACUAGGAGGGAUUCUUUGUUCCCUUGACCUUGGGUUUCUAUGUGGAAACCAUUCUGUCUUAUAUCCUUGAAGCUCAGAAGAUUUCUCUUCGAACUAGGAGAAUAUAGAGCAUCUGGUAUUUUAAGUUGUGUGCCAUUUGAUAGCAACACAUAGGCAUGGCCAUAUCCUUCGAUAAGGUUUGAGGGACCCGCGAUGGUGCUAAUAUUUGCGGUUUGAUAGGUUAGGUUUAUGAAGUAACUUUUGUUUCUUAAGAUAGUGUGGCUGGAUCCACUAUCUACGACUAUGGUUUCCAUUUGCUGGUGUGCUUCAUUAUGAAUAGAAGAUAGAAUUCGGUAUUGAGAAAUUCAGAAAAUGUGAUAAAUCAUAAAGUAAAGCAGUGUCUGAGAAUAAAGGCAAAUGGAAAAAAAAAAAAUGAAACAAAUCCCAAAAUGAAAAAAAAAUAAAGAACAAAAUCAAAUUGUAUCAGAGUUUCAGAUGAUUGAAUUAAUCGAGGAGAUCAGCUGUUUCAUAGUCCAUGGGGUCGGUCUGCUCGUUUGUGGUGUUCUCAUCACCAAGGAGGUCGUCACCUUCCAGGUUAGCAGCAUCGACUGGCUGAGUCAUGUUGGCUUCAGCAGGAGCUUUUCCGUACUUCUGGUAUAGAUCGCAGUGGAUCUUGGGGGUGCGACAUUGCUUUGUUGGGUGGUUGAACAUCCCACAUCUGGUACAAGCAGAGUGAUCGGGGUUGGUGUGGCGGGUCGGCUUGGUGAUGCCUCGACCACGACCAGGACCAUAACUGAGGUUAGGUUGGUUGCCACGACCAUGUCCGCGUCCACGUCUUCCACGUCCAUGUCCUCGGCCAUUACCACGUCCAUUACCACGUCCACGGCGGUGAUCUGAGGAUCUAUCGGGUUGAACAUGGUAGGACUCUUGACGAGAAGCUGGGACAGGAGCCGAUCCCGGGGGCCUCAUAGCGCUGUUCCUCAUAAGCAGCUGGUUAUUCUUCUCAGCGAGGAGAAGACAGGACAACAAGUCUUCGUACAAUGUGUGUUUCAUUGCACGGUAUUGUUGUUGGAGCACAACAUUCUCUGUGCUGAAUGUGGAUAAUGUUUUCUCGAGGAGAUCAUUAUCUGUCACAUUCUCGCCACAGAGUUUCCGGAUGGCAACAAUACGAAAGAGUUCGUUGUUGUAAUCAUCUACGGAUUUGUAGUCCUGGAACCGAAGGUUCUUCCAGUCGAAAUCUGCCUGAGGCAACUGGACCAUUUUCUGAUGGUCAUAUCGCUUUUUCAGCGCUUGCCACAAUUCAAGUGGAUUCUCAAGAGUGAGAUAUUGCUGCUUAAGGCUCGGGGCCAGAUGAUGGCGUAUGUGACAUAUCGCCUGAGACUGUCCCUUACGGGAUGCGGUGUUACCGUCGGUAAUACAUGCAUCGAGUUCUUUCGAUGCAAGGAACAAGCGCAUGUCUAGGGUCCACUCGAGGUAGUUAUCUCCGGAGACGUGAAGGGCCUCGAAUUCACAUUUCUGAAUGUUUGACAUCUGAAACAUGAGAUUGAUUUUGUUAGGGAUUGUUUUGAGAAAAUUUUGAAUGCUGAUGAUGAAACUUUCUAUUUUGAGAAUAUUUCUAUUUUAGGAAAGUUUCUAAAUUUGGAAAGUUUCUAAUUUGGGUAAUUUUCUAAAUGAGGAAAGUUUCUAUGUCGGGAAAAUUUCUAUAUGAGGAAAGUUUUUAUAUGAGGAAACUUUCUAUUAGAGGGAACUUUCUCAGAAAUAGUAAAUUUUAAAGGGUAUGGUUUUAGUUACCCCGAACAUGAUGUCGGUUUAAUAGCUGUGAUUUAAUCGGUUAAAGCCGAAUAUAAUUUCGGUUAAUGAGAACCAGGUUUAGCCGGUUUUAGGCGGUUUAGGAGGAACCCUAGGGGAGCCGAAUAUGAUUAGGGUUUUAUCUAGGGUUUUAACGGUUUGGAAAACAUAUUUUGGAUGUGAUUUCGAGAUCUAUAGGAUCUGUGGUCGAUGGUUUUAAUAAUUUCACAAGGACAACAAAGAAAUCACGUGAAAAGGACUAGGGUUUAAGCAUUAUGACUUACGAUUUUGAAGAUUACAAAAUCGUGAAUCAAGCUUAGGAUUUAGGGUUGAUUUUCUUAGUUUAUUCAAUCAAGUGUUUCAAGCAAGAGAAUCAACAAUCAAAUAAGCUGCAACAAGCUUAUUAAACAUGAAGAAAAUCGAAUAGGUUUAUGCCAUAAACAUGGCCAAAAACGGUUGUUAGGUUUUUGUAGAUUAGGGUUUUAUAAAACGAGUUUAAAACCUUUGAACAUGCAUAAACUUGUAAUUUAAACAAUCAAUCAACAAGUUAUCAAUCAAUCAUCAGAGUAUCAAACACUUUCAAUCAAUUAGAGAUCGAUUUUUUUUUUUUUUUAUAGGGUUUUGAAGUGUUUAAACAACAGGUUCUAUGGCUUUCAGUUUUAGAAGAUACCUUUUCCACCUUUGGAUUUCUGACAGGCUAAUGAAACUAGGAGCUAAUAGACCUCAGUUAGCCGCUACAAAUUCCAAGGAUUGAUCACCAAAACUGGAGAAGCUGCUGGUUGAAGAAGGAAAAACUCGGAUCUGGUUUUUUUUUUUUUUUUUUUCGGUUGAUCGUCGUGUACUGUAAGUGUGCGUGAGGGCGCGUCCGACGUUGGAUCGACAAAAGGUUUUCACCAGUAGAUUCGUCUCGUCGAGGGCUUCGAUUUGAUAUGUAGAUCGUCUUCUGGUUCCUCACGGUUUGGAAGAUAUGCGUCUUUUAAGUUUCGACUUGCUUUUAGGGUUUUGGUGGUGGCCGGAUUUAUUAGGGUUUUUCGCUCAGAGAGUCUUAUCGUGCUGAUAACGUGUUGUGAAAACUUAGAAACUUUAUUAAUCACUGGAAUGUAUAUAUAGAGUACAUAGGGAAUCUAGGUUAAGUACAAUGCCCUGAUGGACCUAAUGGGCCGGUAUAAAAGUCCAUAUAUGAUAUGUGUUAUAACAACCAUUAAAUUUUUUUGUUGAUUCUUUAAUGUUGUUUCAUUAUUCAAGACAACAAUUUUUAAACCCUUUAAAGUUAUUCUCUUUUCUUCGCCUUAUUCUUUAAACUCUUCUUUAAAUAUAAUUUUUUAUUUUUAAAAUAUAAAUUAUAUAUAUAUAUAUAUAUAUAUAUAUAUAUAUAUAUAUAUAUAUGAAUGAGAGUAUAAUGAUUCUGUACAUAAUGUACAUAAUUAUAAUGGGUAUCGUUCACAAUAAAAUAUUUAAAAGAAAAAAAAAGAGAAUGCCCAAACAAACAAAAAAGAAUUUAACAGUUACAAUUUUUUAGCACAUUUUUUUACCUUUCAGCGUAUCAGUUCUUUGAAUAUACAAUCCAAUUGAAAAAUAUAUUUGAGUGUAAUGUAAUUGGAACAAUAUUUGGACUCCCAAACUAAUACAACAACUUCUACUUCAAAGCAAUAAAAUUUCUUCUUUUUUUUUUUCAGUUUUCUCAAUAGUACUGUUGGACUGGUUAAUUAUUUGUUUUUUUGUUCAAUUAAUUUUUCUUUUUUAAUUUGGAACUUUUUUAUGUGAAUUGAUGAGUUAAAAAUCUUUCAAAGUAUUAGUUGUCUUUCUAUUUAAUAUUUUGAUCCAUUUGCCGCCCUAUAAAGCACAAAUUUCCUAUUAUUUUAUUUUUAGUUUUAGAUUCAAUCAACCAUUUGAAAUACACAGAAUUUAGACAAUAAAUCAAUAUAUAAAAUAUCCAAAACUCGCAAGUUAUGAAUUCUAUAUUCUCUAUCACCAAUAAGGCAAUAACUCCUACUAUUACAAGUACACUAUCAACCUCUUAUCCAUCAGGAGCUUAGGCAAAUCUCCAUUUUAAUUACUAUCAACUUUGAUCAUCUGCAAUCACUAAUGAGAAGUCAAAGUCACCAAAAACAAUCUUGAAAAUAUAUAGCCUUAAAUAUCCCAAAUUAACAGUUUUAGGAAAUUGACCACUAGUUUGGAAGGGCAUACAAGCAAACUAACGAACCAAUAGAUGAAUAUAAAUUUAUCUAUGCAACAGUUUCUUAUAAGCAUAUAUAUAUUGUAUAUAUAUAUAUAGUUUAAGUAUAGUUUCUAUGUGUUGACCUAGUCGUUGAAAGUACUACACCAUUCCUUAAACCCUAUUUGAAGAUCAAGAAUUGUUUUCAAACCAUCAUGCAAGAUUGUGUUUGACCUUAUAAAUCAAUUGUUAGGGUCGGUUUUACCCCAAUCGGAUAAAACCAUCUCGAAAAUGACUAAGUACCGGAGAAAACCAAUUAGGCAAGAAGGAACAGCUGCCCGCCAGAUACGAACCGAGCCGACCCACGAAACAAGUGGGCCGAGCUGUGCUCACCAAGACGAGAGGGCCGAGCCGUGGAAAAAGAUAGAUGGGCCGAGCCGUGAGAGGAGUAGGCCAAACUCAAGUGGGCCGAACCGUGAGGAGGAAAUGGGUGAGCCGCGUAUGAGAGAAGAUGGGCCGAGCCGUACACCAGUGAAGAUGGGCCGAGCCGUGUGGGCCGAGCCGUUACCUUUCGAGAUGGACCGAACCGAAGUCUUGAAGGGAGAAAGCCCAUAAAAAUCCUAGGCGAUGCCUUGAGGCGGUGGCCGCAUAAAGCGAUAAGGAAAUGUUCCUAAAAUCUCUCCCGAGAUUCUCGGCUAGGCGGUUUAGAAAGUUAGUAUAAAUAGGACAAUGUAUGCAAUUCAUUCGGUAACUUCGGAAACCCUAAGCAACAAUACCUAAACACUUUCACAGCAAUAAAAACCUUCUUUGAUCUUACUGUUCUUGCGAUUACCCUAAAAAUUUCAGAUCCCUUAGUUUUUUCUUACAAAUCUUUGGUUGUGCGAGUUUUGGCUCACACAAUUUGGCGCCGUCUGUGGGGGAGUCGAAACUUUUUUACUCUAAAUCGACGAGACUUUAAGAUCUGAAGAACAUGGCGAGCAACACCCUCGACGAUAACAACAACAACAACAACAACGAUAACGGCGCGGAGAAGGACGCUCCAGCAUCAGGCACAACGACGGCGACGACCGAAACCCAAGAGGAGAUGCGAAACAUGAUGGCUGCAUUGAUGAAGAUGAUCGACGAGCAGGACAAAAGAAAUGAGGCGAUUACAGAGAGGCUCGACGCGAUGGCGGCCGAGCAACGACACCCAAAUUGGAGAGCCAGAAUCUCCGACUCGAUAGAUGGAAUCCGGAGACGCUUCGAUUUCUCAAUGCCUGCAAAGGCCUCGGGAAGCGGCGCAAGGAAUCCCUUGGCUCCACCAAUGUUUCGUCCUCUCGGCGAGCAGACUCCCGCGGCAACCCGAGUCAACAUGACCGAGCCGCCUCCACUCCGUCGGAACUCAAGGCGACGAGCCGGCGAAGAAGAGAAUGACGCGAUCUACGUGGACGCCCAACAGAACGAUGGAACCACGAACUCGCAACAGAACGGCUCAGCUCGGCGAAUAAGCCAAGAAGAGCUCGGCUCAGCACUAAAUGGCGUCCGGACUGACGAAAUCACCGAUCCGGCUCGCGGCGACAACCCGACUGAAGAAGAAGAAAACCUCCAAUGGAUCGAGCAGGCGGAACGCGAAGACGAGCCGAGGAGAGAAGAGCGGGAGCGACUCCCCCAAUCAAAGGGAAUGACUCACACGCAAACCCUCGAAAUCAAAGAGCUGCGAGCCUCAAUGGCUCGGACAGUAGCCGAGAUACGCGCCAUGAUGUCUCAAGUGCAUAACGCGACGAGUGCUGCGCCCGAGAUCGGUCGGAUGCUUGAAGAAACCCAGAGAACACCGUUCACGGCGAGAAUCACGGAGGCUAGGAUUCCCGAGCCCGGGAAGAUGAGAAUACCGUUCUACGAAAGAACGACCGAUGCGAAAGCACACAUCACAGCGUUUCGGAUAGCAAUGGGACGAGCUUUCACAAAGAAUGCUGCCAAACUGACCGAGCGGGAAGUAGAUGCCGGAUAUUGCUUGCUCUUCGUGGAACAUCUCAAGGGAGCCGCGCUCGAGUGGUUUUCAAGGCAGGAGCGGAAUUCAAUCGGCAGUUUCCAACAGCUCUCCGCCUUGUUCCUUAAACAAUACUCGAUGUUUAUGGAUAGAGGAACUUCUGAUGCCGACUUGUGGACGUUAUCCCAAGGACCAAACGAACCGCUUCGGGAUUACAUGGCAGUUUCAAGGCGGUCGUAUCCAAAAUAGAAGGAAUAAGCGACAAAGCUGCUCUCGAAGCUCUGAAAUGCUCUUUGUGGUACAAAUCCGAAUUCCGACGAGAAAUGGCACUCAACACGCCACAAACGAUUCAAGAUGCCUUGCAUCGGUCAUCAGACUUCAUCAUAAACGUGGAAGAGAUGAAGAAUCUAGACGAGCAGUACGAAGCAACGAAAGCAGCAAUCCGAAGCUCAAUUUUGACGCGCCCCUCAAAGAAAGGCAAUCCAUCAAAGAACGCAACAACGCAGAGCUCAGACGAACUUAGAAGCGGAAGUGCCCAUAACUACCAAGUAGGCACUGAACGCGGAAAAGGAGAGCCGCGCAACAACACUUGGGUAAGAAAGCCCACCAACUACGACGAAAAAGCAUUCUGCGAGUAUCACCAGACCUACAGACAUUCAACGGCACAAUGCCAAACUUUAGGAGCAAAACUCGAAGCUAAGAUGGCGGCGGGAGAGCUCCAGAACGCGGUUAACCUUAAAGACCUCGUCCCUAAUGAACUAAAAGAAGGAGCCGAGCCGAGCAGCGCGGCAGAACCCGCAAAUCCUCCCCGACGGAGCGAUAACACAACAUGAUCAUGGGUGGAUCUCAAUAUUACCAAGAUACGGUGUCCUCCAUCAAAGCUUAUCAGCGCCGAGCCGAAGCGAAAAAAAAUUGGACAGAACCGACCGAUAUCCCGAAUACAGUGAUCUCCUUCGCCGAGGAGGAAACGGCAGGAAUCGAUAGACCACACAACGAUCCACUGGUGAUCAAACUGAUGAUCAGGGAUCACGAUGUAGCGAGGGUGCUCAUCGAUACUGGGAGCUCGGUAGACGUCAUUUUGAGGGAGACACUCAGAAGGAUGGGAAUCGAUCUCUCCGAGGUGACGACGAUCCCCAAACCUCUAACCGGAUUUUCAGGAGAAACAACGAUGACUAUGGGAACAAUUAGGCUCCCUGUGGUAGUUGGCGGAGUCACUAGGAUCGUCGAAUUCUGCAUCACCGAUCACCCAGCAAUCUACAAUGCGAUUAUGGGAACUCCAUGGAUCAACGCGAUGAGGGCGGUCCCUGCCUCAAAUUCCCGACUCCAGCAGGCAUCAAAACGAUAUGGGGAAAUCAGAAGGAGUCGCGAAUGUGCUGCUUAGCGGAGCACAAUCUGAGGAAUCCCGUCACCGACGCAUGAGCAGACAUAGAUCGCAAAAAGAUGAAGACGGACCGAGAGCCUGCAAACGAGCUCUCAAAACUCUUAUAGAAAUUACAGAUCGCGGAGAGCCACGAAACGCGCACCGAGCCGGUAUGUGAUGCAGUGGACUCGGUGUGCAUAGACGAAGCGUGUCCAGAACGAUGCGUCGAAAUCGGAGCCAAACUAGAAGAACCUCUGAGAAGCAAACUUCUUUCCCUCCUCAAAGAGAACAUCAACACUUUUGCAUGGACAGCGGAAGAUAUGUCGGGCAUAAACAUCGAUGUGACCUGUCACGAGCUGAACAUGGACCCAUCCUUCAAACCAAUCAAGCAAAAAAGAAGGAAGCUCGGACCCGAACGAGCUAAAGCAGUUAACGACGAAGUGGAGAGAUUGCUCAAAGUAGGAUCAAUUGCCGAGGCCAAAUAUCCAGACUGGCUUGCGAAUCCAGUGGUUGUGAAGAAGAAGAACGGCAAGUGGCGGGUCUGUGUAGAUUUCACUGACCUCAACAAGGCGUGCCCAAAAGACAGUCCCUCUACCGCACAUCGACCGGCUCGUCGAAGCCACUGCGGGAAAUAGGCUGUUAACAUUUAUGGACGCAUUCUCCGGCUACAACCAAAUCCUGAUGCAUCCUGAUGAUCGGGAAAAAAUGGCAUUUAUAACUGAUCGUGGGAUAUACUGCCACAAAGUCAUGCCGUUCGGACUCAAUAACGCAGGGGCAACAUAUCAAUGGCUCGUCAAUAAAAUGUUCGCGGAUCAGCUCGGAAAAACCAUGGAGAUAUACAUCGACGACAUGUUAGUCAAAUCACUCGAAGAGAAAGAUCAUGUCGCGCACCUACGAGAAUGCUUCGAACAGUUGAACAAACACAACAUGAAACUGAACCCGGCGAAGUGCAGAUUUGCGGUCACCUCGGGGGAGUUUCUCGGCUAUCUGGUAACUCACCGAGGCAUCGAAGCGAAUCCCAAACAGAUCAAGGCAUUAAUCGAGAUGCCCUCUCCAAGGAGGAAGCGAGAAGUGCAAAGGCUUACUGGAAGGGUCGCUGCGCUAAACAGGUUCAUUUCCCGUUCCACCGACAAGUGCCUGCCUUUCUACGACACCCUUCGGGGAAAUACGAAAUUCGAGUGGGACGAGCGAUGGGAAGCAGAUUUCCAUGAAUUGAAGAGUUAUCUGGCAAGCCCGCCGAUCUUGGCGAAACCAGUUGAAGGAGAGCCUCUCUUCCUCUACAUCGCCGUAUCUGCUACAACUGUGAGUGGGGUGCUUAUAAGAGAAGAACGAUCCGAGAAAAAACCCAUUUUCUACGUCAGCCAGACACUGACCAACGCCGAGACCCGCUACCCCCAGAUCGAGAAAGUCGCCCUAGCCGUCGUAAUCUCGGCUCGCAAGCUGCGUCCGUAUUUUCAAUCACAUUCGAUUGUGGUGCUCGCUACACUUCCGCUGCGCUCGAUCCUACACAGCCCGAGCCAAUCUGGCCGGCUCGCCAAAUGGGCCAUAGAGUUAAGCGAGUACGACAUCGAGUAUCGGAACAGGUCGUCCCCAAAAUCACAGGUGCUUGCAGAUUUUCUCAUCGAACUUCUGGCCGAAGCGAUGAACGAGCCAACCCCAGACGAAGUAUGGAUGUUGCACGUCGACGGAUCGUCGUCUAAACACGGCUCGGGAAUAGGAAUCCGUCUCACCUCUCCCACCGGAGAAAUAUUGGAGCAGUCUUUUCGCCUGAAAUUCCACGCCUCGAACAAUGAAGCAGAAUACGAAGCGCUGAUCGCCGGCAUACGACUAGCACAGGGAAUCAGAGUUCGAAAGAUAAGAACCUUUUGCGAUUCACAGCUCGUAGCAUGUCAAUUCAACGGCGUAUACGAGGCGAAGGACGGACGAAUGGGAGCUUACCUCAAGGUGAUCAGAGAGUUGGUGCAAAAGUUCGACGAGUUCGAAAUCACACGAAUACCCCGAGGCGAAAACACCUCGGGUGACGCCUUGGCAGCACUUGCUUCGACUUCAGACCCGGAUCUCCGACGGACACUUCCAGUCGAAUUCAUCGAACGUCCUAGCAUCGAAGAGGUAGAAGGAGUUCGGCUGAUAAACCCUCCCAAGCAGGAACCAGAAAACGACGAAGCAGUCGCUAUGGAUGUAGACGCCUCACCAGCCGAGCUGGAGUACGGCUGCGACAAAGAAUGGUUCGGAGCAAUCCGAGUGUAUAUCGCCGAUGGAGAAGUACUAACCAACAAAUGGGAAGCCCGCAAUUGAAAGGCAUCCUUGGUCUCGAUACGCCUUUUAAGCAAUGCCACCUUGGCGCUUUUGGCUCUCCUAGCUUCCUCGAGGCGAAUCACCGAGGCGGAAACCUUGUCGAUAUCGGCACGAAGAACUAUCUUCUCCUCUUCUAGCCUCGACACCCUGGUCAUCGCCUCGUCCAGCUUCCCCUUCGCCGCCGCGGUCUCGUUCCGGGCCUCGUCCAGGGGACGUUCGACCUUGGACAGGUCCGCCUCGUAUUCAGCCAUCAGCUCGUUGAUGGCUGCUACAAACUGCAAAGAAUAAUACGCGUUAAACACUUAGUAAGAAUUUGAUAAAAUAAGGAGAGUAAACAGAACGUACCUUGGUACCGCGCUGUGCCCUCGCGCCAUACGACCUCGGUCUCCUCAGCUUCUCAAGAGGAGGAAGACGCGUGUUCUCAUUGUUAACAUGUGUAAACAUCAUUGCCGAGGCGUCAGGGUCGUCGACGACCAGUUUGCAUGAAGCGGGAUCACCGGGAGCCUGCUUGCGCUUCUUCUUGGCCGGCUCGUCCUUUUGAAUAGCUACGCCCUUCCCCUUAUCAGCGGCCGAACGUUUUCGGCCAGAAUCAUGCUUCUGUAAAACCGAAGUCGGGGCCUCGAUGACUUCGAAAGAGCCUGAAUAGCCGAGUUGGAAGGAGUUUUACUCCGCGCCGCAGAGUCAUCUUUGGGCGCCUCGGGAAUAAUUUUGCCCGGUUCCACCUCGGGCACUGCUUCUUUCUCAGUCAUCUCGGCAAUGUUCGCCUCCGCGGCUUGGACCAUGCCUUCACCUUCACGGCUCGGCGGAUCAUCCUGAGGGACAGCCUCGGUCUCUGUUUGAGCCGCCUCAACGGCUCGUCUCACAGCUUCUUCUUCUUCACGCCUUUUCUUAUCUCUAAGAGUAAUGAUCACCAUUUUCUCCCUUGUGUCUAGUGAGGAAUUUGAAGACGAAGAGCUAACAGGAACUCCGGCAAGAAUGGUUCGUGCUCUUUCCACUCUCUCGAAUGUAAAAUGCUUCCUCCAAUUAACUCUCCGAGCCACAAGAGAAUCUCGGACAACAAAGAGGUCGUCAGGAAUUAGGGGAAGAAUGUUCCGAACUGCAAAAACAACAAGAAAAUAAUCAGCUUAGUAAGGGAAGAUUAUACAAUAACAGUUCCGAGCCGAGGCAAAUCUUCGGAUCGACUACCAAGUGGUCCCCAAGCAGUCUUGGUUUUUUGAACGUAAUCCUCGCCGACUGACGCCUCAUUCACCAAGACAAAGAAGAAGCGCUCGGUCCAAAACUGAUCCUUGAUUGGAAAACCACCUAUGAUCCGGCGGUUGGACUUGUUGGAGAUGUAAAAUCUGUCUCCCUUCGGAGCUUUUCUGAUCUCCAACAAGUUUAGCAGGUGAUUCAGUUCGAUAUCGAGCCCGCAUUCAAAACUUCGAACCAGAAUACCGAUCAUGUGCCGCAGACCCCUCGGCAUGAUCUGCCCGAUUGAGAUCCCAUGUUUCCAGAGGUACUCAAGGAUAACUCCGGGGAUCGGGAACUAGAGAAAACAAAGCCCAAAGAACGCCUCGAACAGAGUAAAGUGAUUCUCAGGGGUUUGUCGGCUUGGUCAUUCUUCUCUGGAAGGACGAACUCUACCGCCUUGGAUAUCUCGAAACGACAUCUCAACGCCUCGAGUGAGUCAGGGGAGGAGAGCGUAGAGCCGGGCGGGUCAGGUUUUUGUCUUUUCACUCGUUUUGGCUUCCCUCGCCCAGAUGAAGAAGCACCUCGGGAUGCCAUGAGACGUUCUAAUUCACGCUUCGCCUCGAACAGAUCAAAGGGAAACGCUUCCUCCUCAGCUUUCACUGCAGCAUGAUUAACAUCUUCGUCGAGAGCGGGACCUUGAGGGCGGCUCGUCGAAACCGACGGCUCGUCAUCUGGAGAGCGAGCGCCUGACGGACUUGAGCAAUUCGACGCCUCGUUGCUUUCGGAUGAACGGUUAGAAGGGCUCGGCGAGAUAGACGCCUCGGAGGACCCUGUUACACCUCUCGCCUCGGCGUCUACACGGCUCGGCCCGUAGUCAAAGAGUGAAUCUAAUGAAUCGUUGGAAUGGUUCGACAUGAUUUACAGCUGGAACGGAAAAUACAAUUCUACGCGGCCAACUUUCAUCGGAAAAAGAUCUGAGGCAGCGGAAACCUCGGAACCCUAGCCGGAAAAUAAAUAAACUAGAGAGAGAAAGAAGAGAGAAGGGAGAGCUACCUUUUAGUGAAAACGAAUGGAUCUGAAGAUUAUGAGAAGGAACGAAGGAGCUCACCUAUUUAUAGGAAAACCAAAGCGCGUGAAGUCCGCGUGGACCUCGGGAUGGCGCAAAGGUGUUCAGUGGGGGCGCAUGAAGUCCGCGGCGAAUGCGUAACCUCUUGGCGCGUCCGUCAUACACGCCAACACUCAAGAUGCCUUGGAAAGAACUAACAGCCGCUCUAUCCAGAUAAACCGAGCACAUGACACAGCUAUGGUUAUCUGAGAAUAUCUUAUCAAGCUGUGUGAGCCGAACCAUGCUUUGUCGAUACGGCUCGACAAUUUCAUAAGAACGCCUCGUCGUUAUCGUUAACGCGAAACGGCUCGGCAAUCUUCUUAGAAAAAAACGCCUCGUCGUUUAUUCUGCUCGGCAUAACUUUCACAAAACGCCUCGUCGUUUAUUCGGCUCGGCAUAACUUUCACAAAACGCCUUGUCGUUUAUUCGGCUCAGCAUAACUUUUACAAAACGCCUCAUCGUUUAUUCGGCUCGGCAUAACUUUCACAAAACGCCUCGUCGUUUAUUCGGCUCGGCAUAACUUUUACAAAACGCCUCGUCGUUUAUUUGGCUCGGAAUUACUUUUACAAAACGCCUCGUCGUUUAUUCGCCCCGGCAUAACUUUCGCAAAUCGCCUCGCGUACAAUCCUUUUCCUAAAGAUAUCUCAUCAAGCAGCACAGAUUGCGCCACGCCUCGUCGUUAACAAAACGGCUCGGCAUUAUCUCUUAUCUUGACACGCCUCGUCGCUAUACAUAGCUCGGCACUACAUAAACACCACGUCGUUGAAAACAGCUCGGUGCUAUUUUUGUCAAAGUAACCUCAUCUCUUAACGGCUCGGAAAUUUCCUUCGAACAGCCUCGCCGAAGACAGCUCGCUUGUAUGCGUCGUCAAAGAACGGCUUGGCAUUUUUAUUCCCAAAACGCCUCACCUGGAAUUGUUCUGCGACGGUUUAACUCGAUAUUUUAUCCCAUGGCUAGGAGCAAUGAACCUCGUCACUCUUGUAUCCGAAACCGACGAGCUGGGGGGCUAACUGUUGGGGUCGGUUUCACCCCAAUAAGAUAAUACCAUCUCGAAAAUGACCAAGUACCGGAGAAAACCAAUUAGGCAAGAAGGAACAGCUGCCCGCCAGAUACGAACCGAGCCGACCCAUGAAACAAGUGGGCCGAGCUGUGCUCACCAAGACGAGCGGGCCGAGCCGUGGAAAAAGAUAGAUGGGCCGAGCCGUGAGAGGAGUAAACCAAACUCAAGUGGGCCGAACCGUGAGGAGGAAAUGGGCGAGCCGCGUAUGAGAGAAGAUGGGCCGAGCCGUACACCAAUGAAGAUGGGCCGAGCCGUGCAAGAAGUAGAGUGGGCCGAGCCGUUACCUUUCGACAUGGACCGAACCGAAGUCUUGAAGGGAGAAAGCCCAUAAAAACCCUAGGCGUUGCCUUGAGGCGGUGGCCGCAUAAAGCGAUAAGGAAAUGUUCCUAAAAUCUCUCCCAAGAUUCUCGGCUAGGCGGAUUAGAAAGUUAGUAUAAAUAGACAAUGUAUGCAAUUCAUUCGGUAACUUUGGAAACCCUAAGCAACAAUACCUAAACACUUUCACAGCAAUAAAAAUCUUCUUUGAUCUUACUGUUCUUGCGAUUACCCUAGAAAUUUCGGAUCCCUUAGUUUUUUCUUACAAAUCUUUGGUUGUGCGAGUUUUGGCUCACACAUCAAUCAGUUUUCUCCAUGAUCGCCUAGAAUUGUUUUUUGUGGCGAUUAAGUAAUGAUCUCCCCAUUCUUUUAUUAUCAGCCUUCAAAAAAACGAAUAUCACUUUUUCUACUACUUAGUAAGUAUUGAAAUAUUCUGCGAUCAACAGGACCCCUUUGGGAACCCACUCGCGGUAUCCAGUUUUCGGGAGCCACUCCAAAAUACUCGUUUGUUGCAUGGCUAGCUGAAAAAUACAGGAUCUCAACUGGGACGAGAAUGGCGAAAUGGAAUAUCUCGGCGUCUACAGGAUGUUCUUUCUGCGACGAACCAUUUGAAAGCAGAGAACAUUUAUUCUUUGCAUGCUCAUAUACAAAAAAUGUGUGGAAAGACCUGGUGGAUGGGAUCAAGGGAACUGGUUUUACAAACCUUUGGAUGGAAGUGAUUGAAAGCAUAACAAAUCGGCCAUAUGAUAAAACUAGAACUUUCAUCAUCCGAUACAUAUUUCAAGUAACGGUUCAUGCGAUCUGGUGCGAGAGGAAUAGCAGAAGACAUGGAGAAAAACCAACUCCACCAGGCAUUCUCAUCAAGAAUUUCGAUAUUGUAAUGAGGAACAGGCUGAGUACUCUUCAACUCAAAGGCAAGGGGGGGGGGGGUGUACGAAGAAGGGCUGUGUAUUUGGUUCGAUGCAAGAAGAAACCCAUAACAAAAUGGUUUCUUUUUAAGAGUUUUUCAAAUAACGUUAACAGUUUAUUUUUUUUUCUUGAAUAUAAUUUAACAUUUUAUUCAAAAAAAAGUAGUAUAUAAAUAUUGGAAUUUGAAAAUAUAAUUUACCGAGGUAGAGAUAGUGGAAUGAAACCCUAUGAGAAUAUUAAUUUGCGGAAGACACUUAUCACAGGUAAAGCAGAUCUGCCAUAUUCUACGAAGCAAGUUGGCGGGCAUGGACAGAGCAGCCCUUCUCAAACUCUCAUCAUCCUCAAGAUCCAAUCAAAACUCAGCAGAGUGUUUUUCCAUCGACAUGGUUCAGCUUCAUUCAAAGGUAGAGGAAUUCAUCAUCGAUUUACCUUUCUUCUUUUCUCUACAAUCACAUUACUUGCUUCACACAGGUUUCAGUUACUCACAUGCCAUAUGUAAUCUUGCUUAUAAAAAUAUUUCUGUAAGUGAGAAGAGAUUAGAUAAAUAAAGUAUGGAGUUUUAAAGAAAAAAAGAAAGAGUACAAAAUAUGUCUUCUUAAAAGAGAGAAUAUAAGUAACAUAAUUUAAAGAGGUGUAUUAAAUAAAGAAUCGCAGUUGGAAGAGUGAAAUUUUAAUGGUUCUCUGUUGACUAAGAAUUUUUGAGAACUGCAAAUGUCAUUUUUAAGAAGAAAAACUUGAUAUUAUUAUGAUUUUAUCAAUGCUGAUGUGUCAAAAUGGUAGAUGUUGAUGUGUCAUGAUUGUGAGACACAACUCAAUUUUUAUAUAAUAGAUAUUGCUUUUCCUAGAUCAAGCAAAAACUAUGGAAUGGAGAACAAUGUUACUUCUGGUCGAGUAAUUGGUCUCCUUUUGGGAACAUAAAGAGGUACCUGUCUUAGGAAAGACCUGUCUGUAUGGGUAUUCCAUAAACCACAACAUUGGCAGAGCUUUGGAAAAAUGGAAAUUGAGUGAUGCCAGCUGCACGAUCAGAUUCUCAUGUUAGAGUCCAGUCAUUUCUCUCUACUUUAUCUCUAACUGAAGCGCUAGAUUACUAUGAGUGGUGGCCUGACAAUGUUAAAUUCUUUGUCUACUCAACAAAUGUUAUCUACAACUUACUAAGAGAUUUCUAAAGGUAUUCAACUUUCUUGUUUGGCUGAUGGUUUUGAAUCAAAACCCAACUCGUGACAGAUUAAUUCAAUGGGGCCUUCAUACAGAUCCUAGAUGCCUCCAUGCAACAGCCAGGUAGAAUCUCGUUCCCAUUUAUACUUUGAAUGCAGUUUCACUUGGGAAAUCUGGAGGAAUCUCUCAUCUCGAUGCAAUUUUGCAUCCCCUCGCGACUGGAACUCAAUACUGGUUCAAUUGAGAAGCUUCACGGCUUCAAAAUUACCGAGAAAACUGCUCCUAAUUGUCUGGUAAUCAACAAUAUAUGCAAUCUGGUCAGAGGGGAGCAAUAGAUUGCAUCGACAGGUAUUCAAAUCUGUAGGAACAUUAACCCAAGAGAUAGACUCACUGGUGAGGAUUUGGAUCGCUGCUCGUAGAUGGUAGUGACUUGAUGUGGUCGUGUCGAGGGUUGUCAAGUUUUACCCUAAAUGAAAUCAAUAGCCGCAAGUGCACAGCUGAUCGAUUGUAGUACUUAGGGAUCAAAUCCACAGGGAAGGUGGAUCUUUCCUGCAAAAGCCUUUAAAAGAAAUAUAAAGUAAGGAAGUCUAGAACCAAGCGAUUUUUGUGAGGGUUUUGGUGGUGUCUUUAAAAUGUAAAAACUAAUCUUAACAGGAAAAUACGGGCAUUAAAAUGACCUAAUAACUAAACUUAACGAAAACGACUAAAAACAAAAAAAACGGCUAAACCUAAUUGCUUAAAUGAAAAUCAAUUGAAAGAGUAAAGAUACUAGACUAAAGUCUGAAUGAAAAUCGGUGUAAAUCUAUAGAAAAGAAGGCGCUGGGGUUCAGGGAUGUUUUCUCAGGGGUAUGAACGAUUCAAAACAUUCCUAGAUAGUAAAUUUGAAAAGAUCUUAGCUUAAAAUUUUUGAACUGGAGUCACGGACGUAUGAAUACGCCAUUGUCGUGAUCAUAGACAACUAUCUCUCUCAACCCUGACCAGUAGGUUUCCACUCUGGCCUUGGAAGAGAAAAGAUGCAUUAUGUUUAAGACUCGUCAGCAUUCAAAAAUCGCCCAUAGGUAGGUUUCCACUCCUACAUUUGUUUUGCUCUCCCAAACUAGAUCUGACAUCGGAUGAACACUUUCGUGUCACCAAGCAUCUGGAUCAGAUUAUAGUUCAUGACGCUACUCUCAUGCAGUAAAAACGAAUCAGAAGAAAAAGUUCUAAGAUUCGGCUCAAUAGCUCAUGGAAUCCUCAUCGAACAUAAGUAUCCCCAUCGAAAAUCCCUUAGACCCAACAAUAAAACUACUCAGACAUGAUAAACAAAAUCAAAAACAUAGUAUUAAAAAGUAGAACAGAAACCGAAAUUGAAAAAGAAAGAACAAGGGUUCAAGAAAUAGAUCUCUCUCGCCCUAAAACCUAAAAACAAACCUUAAAGUAAAAUUUCUGUAAAGUAUUUCGUCUCUCUUCUUCCUCUCCUAAAAACGACCUAAAUGAUAUGUAUUUAUAGUAUCCAAUACUCUCUGGUGUCUAGGGUUCCGAAAUUGAGGCUGGGAAAAUGAUACGGGCUUCAGAAAUGGGCCUCCGAACUCGGAGUUGGCUGGCCGCGGUCAGAAUGUACGUGACCGCGGGGAAUGGAUGACUGGCCACGGUCGGGGAGCUUGUGACCGCGAGGAAUGGGUUGUUGGCCGCGCGUGGAAACGCUUUCCGGCUGGUUUAUGGGACAUCUUGCUCUUCGCGUAUCUUUUGAUUGAACCGUUGGAUUGCCAAGCUGUAAAGUGUGCUGGAAAGCUGAUACUUCCAUCUUUGAGAUCUCCAAAUUUUAGCUGGAUCAGACGGUGAGAAGGCCUUCAAUCGGGGGUGAACUUCUGACGGUUUGACUCUGAGCUGAAAAUCUGGUCUUCUAUCCAUUUUGUUAAGCUUUUUCUUAAGUUUGCUGAAAAGAGUCUUGGAACUACAAAUACUAGAAAAAUAUAAUAAAAGUACUUGAAAGAAAUUAAAAACAUAGAAAAAAUAUUUCAAAAGGAUCCAUAAAAGUGGUCAAAAUACGGUGUUAUCAACUCCCCCAGACUUAAACUUUUGUUUGUAAAGUGGUCAAAAUACGGUGUUAUCAACUCCUCCAGACUUAAACCUUUGUUUGUACUCAAACAAAGCAAAAGUCUAAACUGGUUAAGUGAAAACAAAAAUAGGAAAUGCACAAAUCUCAGAGACAUGAACUCCUAAAUUAGGACCAAAGAUCGUGCAUCAAUCCACAACUUAGUCUAGAAAAUUCUCACCAAUACACAAAAGAUACUAGUCCACUUUUUCCGUCAUGCAAAACUUGAACAAUCUAAAUCUUGAUUCAAGUCAACUAGCUCUCUACAUUCAUUAAAUGCAAUAGUGAAUUCUCAUUAAAGACAUCAUCCAGGGUAGACGACAUUAAAGGGCUGUUUAAGUGGUGGAGUUAAAGUGUUUCGGGUUACCUGAUGAAUCUGGAGGAUGCAAGACAAUAUGCAAAACCGCAAGAGAGAUAAGGACCUGUUGAUGACCGCAAUUUUCAGUCACUUCUUCUUGCCCAAUGUUGUUGCAUCCUUUCUUGUAAACAGCUAUUCCCCCAGACUUAGAUUUUUUCCGGGAAUCAGAAAAUGAUCUCCAAAACUCCAUAAAAAUCGAACUCCAGUUGCCUUUGGACUUAAAAUUCGACCUUCAGUUGCCUUUGGACUUAAAAUUCGACCUCGCUAUGCUAUUUAAGGCUUUUAUUUCCUUUCCUUUCUUAUUUUCGGAAUCUUUUUUUUUUUUUGGAAAGGAAAUGCCUUUUAAAGAGAGAGAGACUAGAGGACGAGAUUGUACCAAAAUUUGAGAUUUUUCUAAGGCAAACUGAGCUUCCUCUUGUGUUGAAUCCUUCUGGGAGCUUUUCUGGCUAAUCGCAGGUCUCUGUCUUUGGUGACUGAAAACUGCGUCGUUCCUCUUUCUCUCCAACGUUUUUACACAUAUCUGCAUAUAAGACAAUAGAAAACAAGAGUGCAUGUGGUUUGAAAGAGGAUUGGUUAAGGUGGGGAACUAGAUAAAGAUGAACUAGCCAUUCAAGAUCAACAUAGAGUAAUAAAAAGGAUAAAGGAGUCCUGAAUGUAUAUAUUUAGAGUGCAUUUUAGAGUCCUCAUCAUGUGUUUUCCCAUGUAAAUUGAGUCUUUAGGCGUCAAAAUAGGAUUUAGGGCUUGCAUUAGGUCCCAAAGAGUUUUGCAUGUUUUGAAGUCUUAAUCAGGUGCUUUGGAAGUCAUAUGGAGCUUAAGAAGAGGAGCAGAGAAGAAAACGGUGAAGAAAAGGAUCAAAAAUGGUGAAAACCGCUUGGAGGAAUUUCUCGGCCAAAACUCGUACCGGCUGGACAGAAACCUCGGUCAAAAAGCUUACCGAACGCUCAUUACCGGCCAAAACCCUUACCGAUCGACGAAAAUCGACCAAAGACGAGUAUCGGGUGCAAAAUACCACGGGUUAAGUUUUGGCUGAGGCGAGAAGAAUUUUACGGCUAAAAAGCUUACCGCGGUACAUAGCCCUCAGUCAUUUUCCUUACCGCGGGAAGCUUUUCUCGACCAAAACCUGUCUUUGCCCGCGCAUUUCAAAUAUCAGCAAUCCGGGGAACCUUCCGGUCCGAAUCAGUUGGCGGGGUCUUCAUAAAAGUUGGAGAUAAUCAAGCAAAGAUCCCAGAGCAGUUGGAAUCAUAAAAUUCGGACCAGUGAGGAGAAAGAUACAGCUUCCGGAAGAUGCACCAGCAUUACGCGCAUCCGAGAACCAAACGGCGGAUUCCAAAGAUCACGGUGGACGGAGCCUUUCCGGACCGAACUAGCCUGCCCGGUCUUCAUCAAAGCUUGAGAUCUGUGAAGGAAAUUCUCAGAACAGUUGGAAUAGCUCAGUUCGGAGCAGUGGUUCAAAAGAUAAGGUCUCCGGAGUUCACAUUGGUUCAAAAGCUUAUUUUCCGGUGAAUCCGAUGCGGUGCAAAGAUGUGAAAUCCAGGAAGCCUUCCACUUCCCAAGCUCCGACGGUUCCUUCACCAAAGUUCGAUCUUAUUGAGUCAUCUUGACUAUGGAACUGGUUUCAGAGUUACUGGAGUCGUGUGUUGAAAGUUACUGUUUCCGGAAGGCAAUAUGGUCGAUACGAGCCCAAAUGAGUUGCGAUACACGCUAAGUGUUUUCUCAGGGCUCGGCAUCAUUACCUCGACAUCGUACAAGUCAAGGCUCAUAUCUUGGGAGUAUUCUGGACUAGACCUCGUGCUGAUGCCUCGGCAUGUUGGGAUCAAGGCAUGCACACGUAAGAAGUGAAGCUGGAAACGACUAAGUGUUGAACGUGCACCUCGGUGUAAUGACCUCGGCGUGCAUGCCGGACUCUGUUCUCCCAAACCCCUCGACUACCAAGCCCCUCGGCAUUUUAUCCCGAGGUCCCUUGUCACAAACCCAGAAUCAAGAACAAGACGGCUCAAGAACACAAAAGUGAAGAUGGAUCGAAGACUAGGGUUCAUGCAUGUUCUUGACGUGUUCUUCACGAGAUCUUCAUUUGGAUCCUGACUCACGUGCACUCCUCGACAUGAAGACCUCGGCUUCACACUCCGAUACACCGUGGCACUCACCCAUCAACCCAAGAAGGCGGCUCAGUACCCGGUUUGUUCCGGGCUGACCCGCGACACUUUCCCUUUGCUAUAAAUACAUUUUAGGACCAAAAACCUAAUCAUCUUAUCUCUUAUCUGUUUUUAGCUCUAAGAACUUGCCUCUUUUGUGAAACUUGAUUAAUCUAAUCCGAUAUCUCGUUUUUGCAUCAGAAUCUUGUUCUUUCUUCAUUUCUUUUAUCAUCCAGCAUCAAACUCCUUAUCAUGACUAGCUACACAUCUUGCAAAAGACUUAGUGAGCUCGUUAUGAUCAGUGAGUAGUCGUUUAAGCGGCUUUAGAUAGGUAGAUUAGGGUGCUUUCAAGAUAGAUUAAUGGGUUUAGGUGUCUAGUCUUGCAUGUUUCAUUCUUUAACCGACGAGAUGAUAUGUUCAUAAUUUGCAUCAUUUAGGUUGCAUAAAUCAUUCCAAAUCAUGUUUUAUUUCAUGCAUUUUAGGUCCUUAGGGUUUGUUUUAGAACUUAGGAGAUGCAUUAAGUCCCAAUGAGUCUAUUGCAUGUUUUGAGUGUCUAUCAGGUGAAUAUGGAGCUGAAAAGAUGAAUCCAGGAGGUGGAAUGGUGAGCAAAGCUUGAAAAAAGUGGAAAAUUGGGUCCUGGGAGAUUAUCGGCCAUUCUCGCUGGCCAGGAAGGUUUUACCGGCCAUUUCCAUGUACCGCGGGUGAACUUUGUCGACCAAAACACGUACCGCGAAUGAAGUGCAUCGGCCAAAAUCUCCGGGUAUGAACGUGUCUCAGAAAUCGCCUGUCCGGGGAGCCUUCCGGUCCGAUUCAGAUGGCGGGUCCUUCAUAGAAGUUGGAGAGCAUUGGAGCACGGUCUCAUAGCAAGUGGAAUCGUGGAAUUCGGACGCGUGAGCAGAGAGAUAAGCUUGUCGGAAGGAACCCCAGUCUCGCAGGUAUUCCGGACCGAGCAGAUCAGUUCUAAAGGAUGCGAAGGACGGUGCACUUCCAGGCCGAUUUAGUUUCCGGGUCCUUCAUGAGAACCAUAGACAUUUGAGCCUUCUUUCCAGAACGUCCAAGAGCAUUCAAUUCGGAUCUAUGAGCAGAAAGAUACAGUCUCCGGAAUGGACACAUGUCUAGACGCCUCUAUCUGGUCGUGUACAUGCACUGCAAAGAUGUGCCCUCCAGGAAGCCUUACACUUCCCAAGCACCGAAGCUUUCUUCACAAAAGUUGGAGAUAAAUGAGUCCUCUGUCUUCUGCAACCGAAAUCAUUCAAUUCGGACAAGUCUCAUAGGAGUUACACUCUCCGGAAUGCGAAGUGGUCUAAGCUGCUCUGGAUGCUGCGAGUUGGAGAGGAAGGAGACCAAGCCGCAGCAACACUCGCAAAUCACUCCGACUUGAGCCUGCGACCUAGGUGCAAUAGAGACCAACCCGCACAGUUUGUACAUUCCCCAGAAACCGCCUUAGCCCUGCGAGUUGGAGAGGAAGGGGACCAAGCCGCAGCAACACUCGCAAAACACUCCUACUUAGGCGUGCGGCUAAGACAAGGCGAUUCAGGCUUCACAAGACAAGUCUCCAUCUACUGCGACUUAGGUGUGCGACCUGGGACAUACUGGACUGACCCGCAGGAUUUCCACUUGACCCAACUGAGCCGGGUCAGUACCCGGUUUGUUCCGGGCUGACCCGGUUCAUUAGCACUUAGUAUAUAUAGCUUUUUGGAGAAAAACCCUAGACAUGUUAUCUUCUACUUAGUUUUCUCUCUAGUUUUCUUUCCUUUUUAGUGUAAAAACGUUUUUGAUUAAGAGAUAUCUGAAGGGAUUUGAUCAUUCCAAGUCUGUUUCUUAUCAUCUCAUCACCUCAUUUCUACUUCUAAUCAUGAUUAACAUCAUCUCUUGCAAAAGAUUAGAUGUGUUCUUCAUGAUUAGUGAGUAGUCAUCUUUUAAACUUCUAGGUGUGUAGAUUAGGGUGCUUAGAUGUUUGAUUGGUGAUGUUUAGGGUUUAGAUUCUCAUUCCAUUUCCUUAGUUAGUUGCUCCCAAUGCCAGAUUUCCUUGGGAAAGUGAAAUCUGGGUUCAUAGGCAUUUCAUGCACCAAAAGUGUUUGAUGAAAUGCCUGAAUGAGCUAACUUAAGGGUUUAUGCCUUUUUCAUCAUGGGAAUGAUUUGUUAAAUGCAUGAAUGACAUAUUAGAACUGUUUCUUAAUGCUCAUUGAUUCAUAUUUCACAAAUGAUGAUUUGGUUUGAAAGUGGAUUAGUGUAGAGAUUAAUGCCUUCAUGAGAGGAUUAGUCUAGAUUAGAGUUCUAAGUUGAAAUGUUUGAGAUCAUGUGAUUGCUUGUUAUGUCUUUCUGUAUAAGAUUCAGUCUUCUUGGUUGAGAGAUUGUUUGGUCACUUAUUAGGCUUGAUGCAUUAUGCUUGCUGAUUGCUUGAUUAUAUCUAAUGGUUGUUAGACUUGAUUAAGUGAUUUGCAAAGGGAUUAUUGUCAUGGGAAUGAAUUAAUCUGAUUAAGAAGCCUAGACUAAAGAGUAGCAAGUGUUGCAUUAUGUUCUUAGCAUCAUGAUUCAAUAUCUAAAGCACCCUAAUCAAUGAUCACAUCUAGAGGUUUAGCUUUUAUCAUUUGCUUAAUCACCAUCAUCUUGUUUUGUUUGCUUGCUUAGUUCAUUAAUCAUAGCUUGUUUGUUUCUUGUUUUAUGCUUUCUUGUUGCUGGUUUCACAAAACUCAUCUUUGAUUACUUGACUUAAGAACCUAUCACAUAAACUAGUGCCUAACUACCACACAUAUGGAUUGACACCCCUUAUACUACUUUGACAAGGGGAUUGAUAACCCAACUAAGGCUUAAAAACCUUAGUUAUCACGAGAUCUCUAGGCUGGAUCCAAGCACAUCACUUGAGGUUCAGAUCUGAGACAUAUCUCGCAUCAAAAGUGUUUGUAGAAAUGUCUGAACCACUCGGUUAAGGGUUUAAGAGUCUUUCAUCGCGAGAGUGAUAGUUUGUUCUCUUAAAUGACAUUUUUUGAACUGAAUCUUAUUGCUGACUGAUUCAUGCUUCUCAAAAGGGAUUUUGGUAUGAAAGAGGAUCAAUUUAGAUGUUUAAUACUUUCUUGAGAAGAUUAACAUGCCUUGAGUUCAAAGUUAAAUGAAAUCGCUUGAUAAAAUGAUUCAUUAACCCAUUAGUUUAGCUUGGAAGCACCCGAGUCAAGUAUCCUGUCUAAAGCUUCUGCCUUUAUCAUAUAUUAUCAUCAUCCGAAUCAUUUGCUUGUUAUUUGCAUCUUCACUUAGUUUAAAUCUCAUCAUUUGUUUUACUUUUAUGCUCAUUUGCUUGUUACUUAGUCUAGCUAAAAACCUUUACUAUUCUCUCUUGACUUAAGAUGACAAAUGACAUAGAUAGUGUCUCCACUACAAGUUUGGUUUGAUAACCCUUUGUACUACAAGGACAAGGGAAUUGAUAACCUCUUUAAAGGGUGAAAACUCUUAGUUAUCAAUUGGCGCCGUUGCCAACUUGUGGGAGCAUUAUUCUCUUAUUUGUUCUUAAGAUCAAGACUUUACUUUCUUUUGUUUUACUAACUCUUUUUCAAGUUCUUGUUUUGAUUUCAGGUGCAUGAAAACCAGGUCUCGUAGCACAGAACCGCCUUUACCAUAUGACAAUAACAUCAACACGAUUGAGAGGCGUGCUCGCGAGAGAGAACGACACUUUGAAAGACUUGGAAUGGCAGAACAGCAAAGGAUCGAGCAACAGGCUCAAGAAGCCGAGCACCAGGCUCAGGCUAAUCAGGCGCAGGCGGGAAGAAAUGAACAACAAGCCUAUGUUAACCAACAACAGGCUCAAAGAAACGAGAGGCUUGCUCAGCAAAACCAACAACAAGCUAAUAGGAACGAGCAACAAGCCCAACAUGUUCAUCCGCCACCGCCACAAGUUCAGAGACAACCUCCUCCGGUCUUUGUUGGAGAGAACGACCGAGCUAAUGUGCACCAAUACCGAGCCGGGAUUCAAGCUCCACCAGUUCAGAAUAACAACUUUGAAGUUAAAGCUUCCCUGCUCAAUAUUGUGCAGAACUCAAAAUUUCAUGGUCUAGCCGGAGAAGACCCUCUUGAGCAUCUAGAUCAGUUUGAUCGAGUUUGCGACUUAACCAAGAUCAAUGGCGUUUCAGAAGAUAGCUUCAAGCUACGUUUGUUCCCAUUCAGCCUCGGUGAUAAAGCUCACCAGUGGGAAAAGAACCUCCCGAGGGGUUCUAUACAAACAUGGGAGCAGUGUAAACAGGCGUUCUUAUCAAAGUUCUUUUCCACAUCACGCACGGCUAAGCUCCGGAAUCAGAUCUCAAGUUUCACGCAGCACAACAAUGAGAGCUUUAGUGAGGCUUGGGAACGGUUUAGAAGCUAUACUAACCAAUGCCCACACCACGGCUUCUCAGAGGCAUCCCUCUUGAGUACUUUAUACCGAGGUGCACUCCCCAAGAUUAGAAACCAACUCGAUACAGCCUCAAAUGGAAAUUUUCUUAGGAAAGAAAUCAAUGCCGCAAUGGAACUAGUCGAGAACCUAGCCAUGUCUAAUGACACGUAUGGAAAGGAUUUUGAUAGGGCAAACCGUACAGGGGGAUCUAGUGAUGAACAUCAUAUGAAAAAGGAUAUAAGAGAGCUUCAGAGCAAGCUUGACAAGGUUUUAAUGGCGACUCAAAAGCCAAUACACUUUGUAGGCAAGUUUGAUGAGCAAGGGCCAAGUUUUGACAAUGUUAAUGAAGAUGGUCUAACUCAAGAGGAGCUGAAUUACAUAGGGAAUCAGCAGAGGUAUCAGCGGUUUAACAACUACAACAGUAACCCAAACCUCUCAUACAGAAAUCCGAAUGUAGCUAACCCUCAAGACCAAGUGUACCCUGCUCAACAACAACAAAGCUAUGCUCAAAAAGCUCCCUUUCAGAAUACCUUCCAGCCCAAGCAACAGUUUAGUGAGCCACAGCAAGGCUACACUCAGCAGAAUCAAGCGGCUCAGGGUAACAACUUCACCAGCCAACCGCAGCAACACAAGUUUCCACCAGGGUUCAAUCCGCAGCCGAUGAGUAAUCAGCAACAGAUUCAGGGAUCGGGUCAGAAUCAGAUGGGAACAGAUGUCUGUGGGAUUUUACAGCAACUGUUACAGGGUCAGCAGAGAGUGGAAAGCCAGCACACGAGAAUGCAGCAAGAUAUCAGAGAGCUUAAGCAGAAUCAAGCCUCUACAUCAUCAAGAGGUCCGGCUUUACCAGGUAAACCGGAGCCGAACCCCAAGGAGUAUGUGAACGCCAUCACAUUAAGGAGUGGUAAAGAAUUACAAGCUCCAACGCCUAAGACAAAGCUCAUUGAGGCCAAUGAGCAAUUAGAGGGGGAGUCAGCCUCAGAUGAUGCGUGUAAAGAAGCGGUUUUUGAGAAGGAACCGAUCAAGGGCAAAGGAAAAGAGGUGGAAAAGACAAUUGAGCUUGAAAAGCCAUACGUUCCACCACCACCUUACCAACCCAAGAUACCAUUCCCAGGGCGUUUCAAAAAGAAAAUCUUAGACAAGGCCAAGGCGGUCUUUGAGAAACACUUGGAGAACACGCAACUUACCUUACCCAUCAUAGAUGCUUUCUUAGCUAUACCUCAGCUUGGAAAGUUUCUAAAGGACGCAAUUCUCAACAAGACAAAGGAGCUCCAGGGUAUGGUAAUACUGAACCAUGAGUGCAGCGCCAUAAUACAAAGAAGAUCUAUACCAAGGAAGCUAUCCGAUCCGGGCAGCUUUACUUUACCGUGUGCUUUAGGUCACUUGAAGUUCUCAAACUGCUUGUGUGAUCUAGGAGCUUCUGUGAGCUUGAUGCCUUACACAGUGGCCAAGAGAUUGGGAUACAAAAGCUACAAGUCGGCCAAGAUCUCUCUUGUAUUAGCUGAUAGAUCGGUCCGAUUACCGGUGGGGUUGCUUGAAGAUUUACCUUUGAGAAUCGGUGAGAUAGAAAUCCCCACGGACUUCAUAGUUCUUGAGAUGGACGAGGAACCAUUAGACCCUAUUAUCUUGGGCCGACCGUUCUUGGCGACCGCAGGAGCCAUAAUCGAUGUGAGAGGGGGCAUGAUCGAACUACACAUCGGUUCCGGGACUAUGAAGUUCAACGUGAAGGAAAUGAUGAAGAAACCGACCAUUGGAGGUCAGGUUUUCUAUGUGGAGGUAAUGGAGGAGCUAGCUGAUGAGCUCCUAGAAGAGUUAAACGCAGAAGACCCAUUACAAGUGGUCUUGACACGGGAACAAAGCGAGCACGGGUACUUGAACGAGGAAAGCGAGGUGUACAAGCGUCUUUUGGACCAACCGAGGGAAGUUGGAGCUGAGGCGAGGUUUUUGGAGCUCAGGAAGAGUGGCCUCGACAUAUUAGACAACGAGGGAUCCAAGGGAACAGAGGAAACACCUCGGGAUAUCAUGGCCGUGACAGCUUAUGCCGAGGCCGAUGGUAAACCGCGCGAGAACAAGGAAAAGGCCGAGGAAGCUGUUCCGGGCCAAUGCAGCUUUGAUGCCGAUUGGAAUGAGGCUGACGCACCCCCUGUUGAGCUCAAGCCUCUACCAACAGGGCUCAGGUACGCGUUCUUGGGUCUAAACUCCACUUUUCCAGUGAUCAUAAACGAUAGCUUGCUUGAACAUGAAGAACGUGCAUUGCUUAAUGAAAUAAGAAAAUUCAGGAGAGCCAUAUGGUAUUCCUUGGCUGACAUUAGAGGAAUCUCUCCUGAUAUAUGCACUCACAGGAUCCACCUAGAGGACCAAGCCAUGUCCUCUAUUGAGCACCAACGUCGCCUUAACCCGAACCUUAAAGAGGUAGUUAAGAAAGAGAUACUUAA
rnacentral:lncRNA from 1 species